rnacentral:lncRNA from 1 species
AUCCUUACAUGAAUCCAACAGUUUAGUAAACAUUUGCAACAAAUAAGUGAUUCCGAGAACGUUGCUCAGCAUGCAAGAAGUUGAAUCUUGAUCUUCUGUAGCAUCCUUACAUCAUCUUUCAUGUUUGUCCUUGUUGGAGAUUCAACACAGCAAUCUAGCGCAACUUCAAUACUAUAUUUGUAUCGAUUCGGGUUAAAUGGGGCGGAUCAUUAAAUGGUUAAAAUGGAUACAUAUUUGAUUUUUAAAAUUUUGGUUAAAAGUUAAAAUUCCAUGUCAGUAAAUUUUAAUGAAAAAACAAUAAAUAGAUUGAGUGACUUUAUGUGCAAAGAAGUCAUAGUUGAGUGACUUUUGAGUUGAAAAUGAAAGUUGAGUGAGUUUUUGUGAAAAGAAUUGAUAAUUGAGUGACUAUCAAAGUUAUUAGCUCUAGCAAUUUUUAUUUUUAAUUUUCGUAGUAUUUUUUCCAUUGUUUUGUUUCCUAGCUUCACAUUCUUUUCCAAUAUUUUUUCUUUUUAAGGAUACCAUUUGAAAUUUAAGGAAAGGAUAUGAUAUUGUAUAUCUAAUUGUGCAUCAAAAUAUAAAUUGAAAGGCAUUACAAAAUUCAACAAGAACUUUGUUGGAGAAGUGUUAUAGCUUGGGAGUGAACAAAAGAUGAAAGCCAGACUAAGCAAACUACGAAAUUCCAAUAACAUGCUCAACGUGCAAGAAGUUGAAUCAUGAUCUUUUGUAGCAUCCCAACAACAUCUUUCAUGUUUAUCCUUCUUGCCGGAGAUUCAACACAACAAUCUAAUGCCACUUUCAUGAUUGAUGGAACAACAACUAGCUUCUUCUGUAAACGAUUAUCCAAUGGUGUUACCAAGUUGACAUCUAUAACAUCCAUUACUGCGCCUCUGGGAGUGAAUAAAUCACCCAUUGCUUCAAGUUAAGAUCUCCCUCAAAAUCACUAGGCUUUCUCCUAGUAAAUGUUUCCAGCAACAUAAUCCCUGUAACUAUAGGCAUCGCAUUUUACUGAUGCAGUAUACUUUCUUGAUUGAAAAAAAAAAUGAAAAAUCAAUGUUCAAAUUCGCAAAAACAAAGAGACAUACCCGGUGCAAUAUAACCAAAUGUUGCUAAGGUUUUAGUGUAUAAAUCACUCUCAUCUUCACUAAGUAGUUUUGAAAUACCAAAGUCGCUUAGGUGGGCAACCAUAUCCUCAUCCAGCAAAACGUUACUAGGCUUUAGAUCACAGUGAAUCAUGGGCAAGGAGCAUCCAUAAUGGAGAUAUUCCAAUGCACAUGCCACAUCUAUCAUAAUGCUUAGUGUCUGCCUGAUGUCUAGGAAGUAGUUGUGCGAAUACAAAUACUUCUCAAGACUUUCAUCAGGCAUAUACUUGAGCACUAAAGCCUUAAAAUCAAGGUUGGAGCAACUAGUGAUGACUUUCACGAGAUUCCUAUGCUGAAGGUUGCGCAAAACUUCACAUUCUGUAUCAAAACUCUUGAAUGCCGCUUCAACUUGCAGAUUGAACACUUUAACUGCAAUGGAAGUCCCACUUCUGAGAACACCUUUGUAAACAGAGCCAAAACUUUCAGAACCAAUCAGAUUACUCUCGCUAACCAAACACAAUUUUUCAAGAUUUAAUUUUUCUCCGAUCCCACGGAAUCACUUUUAUAGUAGGAGGUUUGGGUCCUUUCUUUUGCUUCUAACCCUAAGAAGUUUCAACAUGCUAAUGUUGGCUGACUAGUAUUUUAAAUGAUCACAAUAUAUAGUACAAUUCAAAUCAGGCGUAUUUAGGAGGGGGUCACCGGGUUUACGUGAAGGGGUCACCAGGUUUACGUAAACCCAUGCUUCCCUCGUGAAAUUAUAUAUAGUAGUGUUAUAUUUUUUUAAUAAAUAUUUAAAUAUAGAUGUGUGAACCCACAUUUGAAGUAUAAUAUAAUGUUUUUCUUUCUAAAAUUGGAUAACGUCUCUGAUAUAAUUGGUUUGGAUUGAUAAAAAAUAAUUGUGUACCUAUAAUUUUAAAAUGGGAAAAAGGGUAAAAAAUGCCCUUAAACUAUGUGAAAGGAAUAAAAAUGUCAUCUGUUUAUAGUUUGGCUCAAAAAUACCCUUAUUGUCAAUACCUUGGCUCAAAAAUGCCCUUCCAGUCAAUACUUUGGUCCAGAAAUGCCCCUAUAGUUGCAAAUUGGGUAAAAAAUGCCCUUUUCCGAAUAAAUAGUAUUAUUAUUUUCUUUUUAAAUACAUCUCCUUCCUAAUUAAAAUAUUAUUAAAGAACACUAUUCUUGUUUUCUUUCUUCUAAAAUUAGUUUAACAAAUAAAAAUGUUGGAAAUAUUUCUUUUUCUUCUUAAUCUCACUUUAUCAAUUCAAAUAGAAUAACUUCAUGUACCCUUUCGACAUAUAAUAUAUGUCAUAUAUAUAUAUAAGAUCAUAGUAUAUGCAUCAUUAAUUUAUAUUUAUAUAAUGAUAAAAAAAUAAUGAUAAUAAAAUAAGAAAUAAUUUCAUUUUUUUUAAUUGAAGUAUGAUAAACAUUUGAUAAUUUGGAAAAAGAGCAUUUUUGACCCAUUAAAUAACAAUGAGGACAUUUUUGGAUAAAAUAUUGACGGCAAGAGCAUUUUUCGACCAAACUACAAAUGGAGGGCAUUUUUGUUCCUUUCGCAUAGUUUAAGGGCAUUUUUGAACCAAAGUAUUGAUGGUAAGGAUAUUUUUGAGCCAAACUAUAAACGGAGGUCAUUUUUGUUCCUUUCACAUAGUUUAAUUUUUGACCCUUUUCCCUUUUAAAUUUUUAAAGGUUUUCAGUGAUAAUAACAUAAAUGUUAAACCAAUCAAAUUUAUAUCUUAGAUCCACCUUUUCGUAAUAAUGCACCCAUGAUCUCAAAAUUCUGGAUACGCCUCUGUUGACAGCUCCGACCCUUAAUCAUGCACAAAACUAUUGACCAAUUUAAGUCAUCACAAUAAUCCUUUUCAUUUUCAUUUUCAUUUUGGUAAGACAAUAUUCUUUUCAUUUUCUUUUUUGGUAAAAUAUUUAUCUUUUUUCAUUUUUUGGUAAGACUAUCUUCUUUUCAUUAUACUUCUAAUAAUCUGGUCCAUCCUGACUUUAAUAAAUUAUUUUCCAUAAAUAGUAAAUCAUGAUACCUAUAAAUACAUAUCCCUCCAUACACAACAAAAUACACAUUUUUCUAUCAACUUUCUUCUUCUCUACUUCUUAAUUAACAUAUUAUUAUUCAAAUUCUCAUGGCCAAUAUGGUUCAUAAACUUUAAUCUCCAUUGUUAUGAUAUUUUUCAUAUUAAUGUCUACAAAUGAAACCUUUUCAGCAAGAACUCAUGGUACAAAAAUAUUUUCAAUUGAAAAAAACAAUUGGAAAAUUAGCAGCAGCAGUAUUGAUAAUAAUCGUCGUGUUCUGAAAAGUUCCAUUCCACCAUCCGGGCCGGGUCACAAGGGUCACAUGUCAACUCCACCACCUCUAGGCCAAAUGUUAUAACCUAUCGAUUGAAAUUGAAAUUUUCCUUGAAAGCUAAAGGCGGAAUUUAUAUUUAUAUCCAUUGAAAGAUUUAAUUUUGAUUUGUUGCGAUUAAUAAAACAAUAUUUCAUAUUAGUAAAAUUGGGAUUAAUAAACCAGUAUUUCAGAUUAGUAAUAUUGUGUUCAAGUUUCCUUUUGAAUUUUUAUUUCAUGAAUUGAUUGAUCUUCUAAAGAUAUAAUCUUUUUUUUUUCUUUUCAUGAAGUUAAAAAAAAGGAGAAAUUUAUUUUAUGAACCGUACAACAUGUCUAAUAAAAAAAAAGCGAUGUUCAUCGUAUUGAUAUACCAUAUCGACUAGUAAUGUAUUGAACUAGAUACAAUUUUUCAAGAUUUAAUUUUUCUCCGGUCCUAGGGAAUCACUUUUAUAGUAGGAGGUUUAGGUUAUUUCUUUUGCUUCUAACCCUAAAAAGUUUCAACAUGCUAAAUUUUUUUAUUUCGUUGGCUGACUAGUCUUUCUCCUAUUAAGAUAGAAACCCGAAGAAGAAUGUCAAAAAAGUUGUGUAAAUCCAAUUUGAUGAAAAUGAAAUAAUGUGAUUUAACAAGACAAUCAAAAACAUUGAAAGAAGGAAUAUAAAUCUGUUUCCUGAAUCAACAAAACAAAUUGAUUGAUAAAUACAUUUCCAAUAAAGAAAUAAAUUAUGAAAAUCUCAUAUUAAUAAUAAUGGUAAAAUCACUUUGUUUUGACUCAACUGAAGACUUGAUUAUUAGUAUAUCUAUUUCAGAAGCUUCUAGAGACCGCCGCUCUAGUCCAGCAUGGCGGUUCAAUAGAAAAACUUUUGUCAAUGAAUUAAACAACAUAGAAGUAUAAAAAAAACUGUAGAUUACAAACUCAAAUAUGUAGAAGUAAAACAAUUCCAUCACUCUCCAACUAUACAUUUUUAUUGAUCUCGUGUGCAAUUCUAACCUAAUCUAGUUAAUAUUUUGUAACGGACCCACGAGGUGCUAGUUUUAAACUCGAAGGAGGUUUUGUUUUGAAAUUCGCCUAUGGCAAAUUACUUCACAUCAGAAUGGGAGCAAAAAGUUAAGGAUUCUAUAACAGCGAGUUGAGGAUUAAACUAUAUAUUGAGAUGUCUUUUAGGUUAAAAUUACUUAAGGAAGCAAAAUUGUGAGGUCCACAAAAGUUGAACUUGCUUAGAGAAAUCGAACUAUAGCCGACAAUACCUUGACAUUAACAAAUCUCAUGUCAAAGUAGGGGCAAAAAUAAAGUUAGAACACUACACCAUUUUAGGCCUAGGGCCACACUAAUUCUGGACAACGCUUGUAAAGUGUUGCCUAAAAUAUUUUUGGGGACGCUUUCAAAGCGUAGCCCAAGUUUUUAACUUUUAGCUACACUUUAUAUUGGCAACAUUUAAAAAGUGUACUCUUUAAUGGUAUAAGCUACACUUUAUAAGUGUUGUUACAAUAUGAUAUAAUUAACAACAGCUAUUAACAUAUAUGGCUACACUUUUAAAGUGUCCUAUUUUAAUAAUUGUAAAAACAACACAUUAAAAGUGUGGCCUUAAAAUUUUCACUAAAAUUUUCCCUCCAACAUUAUUUUAAGUCUCCCUCCCAUUUUUAUUGGCCAAGAAAAAUAAUUCAUAAAACAUUAAUUUUAAGAAAAUACAUAAUACAUAUGUGAGAAAAACACGCGUGAGUUCUCUCUUUCUCGGAAUAACGUCUGAGCUAAAGAGUUGAAGAACUGAUCUGAAGAACUGAAGUCAAAGAACUGAUUUCGUCAAGCGUGUGUUCGAUUCUCUUCUCCGAUAACAAUUUCGUCAAGCGUGAGUUCGAUUCACUAUUCCAUAAGUACUAAAUAGUCUUCUUGUUAUUGAUUGAUUUUUUGUUUUGUGUUUAGAAGAGGAGAAUAAGAAGGAAUUGAUAAUUUUGGGGUUGUUGGCUAAGAACACGAUUUCAGACAGAACUGAAGCUAGGAACACGAUUUCAGACCGAACUGAAGAGCUCAACAGCUAAAGAUAUUCUCGCUGAAGGACACGAUUUACAUCAUAGUUCUCGCUGAAAAUAGGAUUUUGUUGGAAUAGGGUUUAUCAGGUAACAAAUUCUAUCUUUGAAAAGUCUAAAUUUUAGCUUUAGGGUUUUGAUAUGCUUGUGUUUUUUGUACAAUUUUUGGGAGUAUAGCUCAUAUUUUAGCUUCAUCAGUUGAUUUUUGAUGAUCAAGAUCUCAAAAAAUCUUUGCUUGAUUGAGACCUUUGGACUCGACUCAAUCUGUUCAUCGCGUCCUUGUUGUUGUACUUAUUAGUUUGAUUUCUUCUAGCAUUUGGCAAUGGAGGUAUAUUUUUGAUGUUCGUAGUGGAAUUAUGAUGAGAUUCAGUAAUUCUCGGAGAACUCUGAGGACUCUGAGGUUUUUCAGUUGGCUUUGAAGUACUUGAAGAUGUGCUUGUAGUAGUUGUAGUAGUAAUAGUAGUACUGCUACUUCCUGGCUCUAGUAGUUUAAAGACUGUUGAAAGUCUACUCUUUAUUGGCUCCUGCAACAUACAAUUCUUGGCUUUGAAGUACAUGAUCUUAGUGUUUGAUAGGAGCAAAAACUGAGAAAUGUACCUCAUUAGAGCUAACGUUGUCUUGUUUAGUAUCAUCUUCGUCUAUUACUUUCUUUUUGCGUUCCUUUUGUGAUUGAGAGCGUUGUCGAGUCUUGUGCCUGCAUGAAAGGGAAACAAAAUAACGUGAACAUGAAUGUCGAAUCACUUCAAUAGAGACUUAAGUGUGGGUUUAGAUGAUUUAGGCAAUGUAACAGGACAUGAAACUUUAUUGGCAAAGUCAUUAUUAUUGUUUUGUUAGUGUAGUGUGUUUUGCUGCAAUUUUGUAUUUUUCUUCUUGUUCUCCAAAAACAAGGCAGCCUUUGGGGUAUCCGAUGGGAGUUUGGAAAACAUUAUCAGUGAAAACAAAUGAAGAACUUAGCAUAACAAAUUAAACUAAGCUCAAGCUUGACAUAUUCUUCGAAAAUGGACUUGGGACCUAAUUCAAAUGCAAAAGCUAACUUUUGAGGUGCGGAUUGUCCAAGAUCAUAUGAAGAUGAUUUAACAACACUAAAACAGAAUUCAGACGUUUCAAGAAAACAAUAUUGGACGUAUAGACGAGUUCACUUACCUUCUCUUCUCAAGCUUUAAUGCUACCACAUGAUCCUCCUUAUAGACUACAGGCAGUUCCGAGAGUUCACAUGCCAACAGGCUUGUACUAAAGAACUGUAUUGAAACAUUUUCCGAAAUCAAGUGACAAAUUUCUCUGCUUGUCUUAGUUUAUUCUUAUUUGUUGGGAUUCUGUGAUAGUGUUUUAUGUUAGACGUCACGUUCUUCAUUCGUGCACCUCAAGUUGGAUGAGUGGAUCAAGACGUCAAGGUUUUAGAUUUCAUCUUGUAUCUCUAGUGCUUUCAUUUUAAAUCUUAUACUUGUGAGGAUCGAUUUUGUCCAGUUUUCUUUUGUUCCGCUUUCUCUUUUAUGUUUACUAUGUCUUUUAAGUUCUCUUUAACAGUUGGUUUUCAUAGGUUUGUUAAAUUUUUUUCAAAUAAAUGCAGAAUGAUGUAUCGAGUUCUUUCCCUGUUGUGGUUGCUUCAUUAACUCUGUUUUCGAAUCCCUUUGCAUCGUGUUAUAUAUGUGUUAGCUUCUAUUUUUUUUCUUUCAAUUUGAUCAUGAGUUGAGGAAACAUGUGUGAGUCAAUUUGUUGCAGCUUCUGAUUGUUUAAAUACCUUUGAGAUAGCAGGUCCUUUAGUGAGAAAAUGAGUCUGUUCAUUUGGUUUAUGAAGAAGUGCAGUAAUCUUGAUCUUAUUUGAAACUCAUUGUAUUCAUCAAGUUAGUUCUUUUGCUACCGUAGUAAAAAUAAUCAAUGCUUGUAUUUGUGAGCAAAUCGAUUUGUUCCUCUCUUUGUUAAAACUGGUGGUGUAAAUCGAAUGCAGGUAAUGGUAAAAAAAUGUGUUUAUUACGCUAAAAAUGAUCUCAUAUCUUUGUUCUUCAUUAGUAUAUAUGACACACUUUCCUGCUAAGAAAAUGCAACUGCUUCUUCCAAUUCAUGCAAGAAUGAAUUUUCAUACUAUAAUUAUAAGCUUUUACAUUGGUGAUAUAUAAACAUCAAUGACUGUGUUUUUAUUUGAGUAGAAAGACUGAGGAGCUUGAAUUGAAGAAGACGCAACAAGAAACCAAAGCUAUUGAAACUUCAAGGAAAGUUAUUCCAUCAAUGGUAUUUAUUUUCGAAAGCCAAAAGUUUGUCAUUUGAGUGGUUUACAAAUUAAUACUUAACCCUUUUGGUAAUUAUACUUCAUGUUAUGUUUAAGUGGCAGGAAAUGUGCAAGAAACAAUUAAUGAUAGCCAAUUCAGAUUUCAUGGAAAAUAUGGAGGUAUUCUAAUUAAUCAACCUAUAUGUAUGUUAUUGCCUUGCAUGUGGAAUUAGAUGCAACUCACACUUCCAUAAUUUCAUAUUAUGCUGUAACUCACAUUUGAGAUACACAACUCAAUCAUUUCUGAUGUCUCUAAUGUAAUCCAUCAAAAAUGCACUAUUUCCCCUCUAUAGUUCUCUGAGUUUUUAUUUCUAGCUAGUUAGGGUGAAGGGGAAAGGGAGAGGUGGGGCUGAAUUAUGUUUCAUUAGUGAGGAAGUAGAGAGAUUCAUGGUACUGUAAGAUAUGCAUGUUACCGUAGGAGUCGUGAUAUUUUUAGUACUAGUAAUUUCUGUCGACUGUUAAAUGUUAAUUGGGUGAUGAAUACAGAAAAAGUUUCUGAACAUUGUGUCUAAAAUGGAAGAAAAAGAUAACGUGAUCACAACAUUUAUGUUGUUGGCUAAACAAUUUGCUGAAGUUAAGAGAAAGGAAAUGGAACAAGGAAGUGAGAAACAGGGAGUACAAGCAGUAGAUGUAGCAAUGGAGAGAUCAAAUGAUCAAGGCAAGGAGCUAACAAUAAUUAAAUUAAAAAUUUGGUCCAAACACCACCCUCAGUCUCUUCUUCUACUGCCAUAGCUCCUCUUUCAUUGCUGCCUUACACUAAUAAUUUUCAUAACAACAACCUAGCAUUCCCUGUCAAGCCUGUCCCUGAAAGACGAAUAGUCACUGUUACUGUCUCCACCAUAUCUGGUGAAACAUGCUAUGAAGCUGGGAUAACAUGAUGAACUACUCAACUGGAAACAAGACAACAACUCUCAUCAACAUAAAUGAUGUCCCUCGUAACGUUGGUGAAGGAUUUCUCCAUGCCCGAACAUCAAGACAAACUAUAACCACAACAACUACCGUCACACCUCAUGUGAGUAUCAUGCAUCCUAUCUCCAUAUAUGUCUCAGUCUGCACUCAAUCUAAUUGAAUAUUUAUGUUCUUGAUAAUUGAAUGCCACUUUAAUUCUUUGUGUGUAUGUUACUCAAGAUGAGUAAAGCACAACAAGUUUUAGGUGAUAACAGGGAUAGCAAAGUUAGCAUCAGCAGGAAGGAGUACAAUCAUCAACAAGCAAGCAAAUAUUGUUCUUCUUAAGAAAUUUUUGUUUAACAGGUAACACUAUGCUCCACUUUCAAGUUCCAUACACAAUUUAUACCAACUAAAACCCCUGAGGACAGUGGAACAUUUAACACGACUGAAAUUUCAUUAACUACAUCUAAUAAAACACGAGAAAGAUGCCAAUCCAGUCCAUCUGAGUGUUUUUCGACUUUUUUUAACUAUUUAAUGUGUAACUGAAAGCUGCAAUCUGGAAUUAAUCUAGAUCUGGAACUGUAAUCUGCAAUCUGCAAUUUGACUGGUUAUUUAAACAAGUUUUUAGGAUUUGUUCUACCUAGGCACUAUAAACUGGUUAGUUUACUUAUUGGACGAGUAUCAUAUAAUUUUUAAAACGACUAAUAGUAGUUGACUGAGAGGACAAUGGUGUUUUAAUUCGGUUUUGAUUGAUUGUAUGUUUACAAGAAGUUUACAGAAUAUAAUGUGUCGAGCAACAUCUUUGCAAGGAGUCUUCUCUCGGCAUCACACAUACUCAUCUUUCCCCAUUCUUUCUUGCAGAACUGCCUGAUCGCACUAGUGCCUUGUAGCUACCAGUGACUAAGGAUAGCAAGUCCAAAGAAGAGAAUCACAAACUGCUGAAUGGAAAUUCGGGAGAUCCAGCAGAAUGGGUAUAGAGGUUUAUGCAUUUUCCAUCCUAGGGAUUAUAGCUUUUCUGUCACUAUUGUAUAAGUUUGAAUACAUUAUAUUUGAUUUUGUGAAAUAUAUUCAUUGCUAGAAUAUAUUGAACCAUUGUAAGAGUAUUUUUUGAACUAUUGUGUAAACAUAUUUAGAAUAUUGCUUUAUAAGUAUGUGUAUGUACACAAGACAUGGUAUCAUUUGAUGUUUAUUGCAAAUAUAUAUAUUUGAAUUACUUAUUAGCUAAUUUAAUGCUUGAGAUUAUUUAUUGCAAAACAAUAUUGGUGUUUUUUAAUUAGAAAUUGUGGCAUAUAAAUAUUUUAUAGCCUAAAUAAUAUUACCACACUUAAAAGUGUAGCCAAAGGAUUGUAAAUUGUUGAAUGCAGACGGGCAAGGACUACACUUCAAAGUGUUGUCAUACAUAAGAUAGAAAAGGCAACACUUUAAAAUUGUGGGCAAUAAGGAAGCAAAGGCCACGCUUGAAAGUGUAGUUGUAUGAGAUAGAAAUGUUGCUAUAUGAGGUACUGGAAAGCGUGGCCUUUUUGCCUUUUAGGCUACGCUUUUAAGUGUAGCUGAUAAGGCGACACUUCAAAAGUGUUGCCUAAACUCUAAGGUUACGCUCCCUUUGGGCACCCCUGGAAAAGUGUUGCUUAAAGUCCAAAAGUGUGGCCUUUUAUCAAAGGCCACACUUUUUCAUAGUUUAGGCCACACUUUUCUAGGGUGGCUGUAGGCCUAAAAUGUUGUAGUGGAAGGUAUAUAAGUGUGAGUGUUCAGAAUUAAAAUAUCAAGACAUUUUUUUUUGAGUUAAAAUUCAAGGGAGCAAAAUCUUGAGAUCCAAAAUUUUUGUGAUGACUCAAAGUUGAUCGAGUCAAAGCGGAUAAUACCUUGACUUUUGGGUUUGGACUAGUGACAAUUCCUAAUGAAUUGAAAUGUAACAAAAAAUGCAAAAAGGAAACCAAAAAGAACAACAAAAGCAUACCAGUAUAUAUAUAGUCCCACGAAUGGGGUCUGAAAAGGGUGAAAUCGCGACGAUAUGCAAAUUAAAGAAGAGAGAUUAAUGGCCUACUCCUGGGCUAGGAACAGACGUGAGAAUUCUAUUAAUAGUGUGUAAGUGACCCCUCUUGCUAGGUGUGGAAUUUGGGAUUGUGCCCUUAGGAAGGGAAAUUUGAUACAGUAAUCUCAUGUCCUCUAAAUUGGGAUUUUUCUUCAAUUCAUGCAAGUUUAAUACUAACUUUCUAUUGGCUUGUGUUGUGGAUGUAAUAAAAAGGGACAAAUAUCAAUAAUAAGAACAUGAAGAGGAAAUUAGUAGUACUAGAAGCUUUUGAAAAAUACAUUGUUGUAUGUGAUAUUUGGUUUUGUCAAGAAGGUGGUAGAAAGGGUGUGCUAUAAAGACUGUUUUCUAUGAUUUCUUGGUGCUAAAAAGGAGAAAGAAGAAAAAUGAGUAGUAGUAGGAGGAGGAGGAAAGGUGUAAAGGGGGACUAGUUUGGCCAGUGUUGAUUGAUUAUAAAUGUAUAUGAUUGUGAUGCUCAUGACAGAAGGUGGGCCAGCGAGAGUUGAUUAAAGAAAAAGACUUAUUAACUUGCAAGCUUCUAAAAAAUGGGUGCAUAUCACACACCUUAGUCGAAUCUCAUAUCAAAGUGAAAGAGAAAAUUAAAGUUACAAGCUUUAUAAAGCAUAACAUAAGUUCACAUGAUAUGCACACUUUUUUAGGCUUGAUGAUGGCAAUAACCCAAAGUAAAAAAUUGUGAGCUCUAUGGAGAAUUGAUAAUAAGGUUUUGGAUUUGAACUUUGUGAUCACAUAAUUUUUUCUGUUAGAGAGUAUUUUAUCUUUUUUUUUAAUCGGCAUAUUAGGUGUGAAUUCAGAUUAAACCUCGUGAGUUUCAGAUAUCAAAUGAUUUUUUUAAUAAAAGAAAAGGGUAAUAAAAGCAAGCGUGAUGGCUACGGAGAAGAGGAUUCAAGUUAGUUGGGCUACCUCAAAUUCCAAUGUUUUGGAAAUAGUUGCCUUCUUUAAUUUUAAUUUAAUGGACAAAAACACAUCUGAAUUAAGGUCCCUCUGAAUUAAUAUUAUUUUUUAGCGAGUUUUAUUUCUUAAUUAUCAGAUGUUUUUUUAAAUCUGAACUAUUACCAUCUAAGUAUUAAAACAUACCUCGAAUAUAACUGGAUCAACUAUCAAUUAUUCCAUUUUUCAAUCUGAAUUAUCACAAUCUACUCGAUUAGGGUGGUAUCUUUCACCAUCUAUUCAACGAAAGGCGGAAAAAAAAAAGUCUUACAAUUUAUUUUUAAUUUUUUUGGAAAAAGGAAUUAAAAGUCAACCACAGACGUUAAAUAAAGAAACUAUUAUCUUUUCAAAUAUUAAAAACAAGAAUGACAUGAAAGAUUAAAUACUCAUAUUGAAAUAGAAAAUAUAUACAAUAUAAUUGAAGAUAGUUGUCACGUUAAGUGACAAUCCAUAUGGCUUUAUAAUUAUUUUGUGUUGUUUUAUUUAAUUAAAUUCUCAUAUUCCAUAGACCAUUUUGACAGUCCAUUUAUAACAAUUUUAUCAUACUGUUGAUUAUUAUCUUAUACGUUUUCUAAUUUUGUCUUUUUAGGCGACAAGGAAGACAAAGAAUAACAACUUGUACCAUCUUUUUAGGUUUUAUUGUUGUCUAACAUCUGCAUUGAAAUUAUGACUAAUUAAUUUGAGUUCACGUCCGGCAAGACCUAAAUAAGAGGGGAAAAAAAUACUUUCUUUUAUGAUUUUUUUCAUUUUUGGGACUCAAACUCAAGAUCGAUUAAGGGUGAGGUGAUGUCGAGUUUUUAAAUAAUAUAUAGUAUAUAUAGUCUACACCUAAUAUCAUAAAUCGGCCUAGGAUUGUUGUGACAAGUACAAUAUUUGAACAAUUAUAAGAACUCCAUCCUCAUUCUAGAUUCAAAACCAAGACAUCUGAUUAAGGAAGAGUGACACAAUGUUGAGCGUUUACAUCAUGUGUAGUAUAGUGUACGUCUAAUAAUCAUAAAUUGGUCUAGAAUUGUUGUGACAAAGCACAUUAUUUGGAUAAUUAUAAGAGCUUAUAUUUAUAAUUUACUACGUUGAAAUGCUUCAAAAUCUUCGAACAAAAUAAUUCAACUUAUUUUUUUUGGUCAUGGUGUCUUAAAUAAUGAGUUGAAUUUUGACAUUGAAAUUGAAAAAAAGUCCUAGAAAAAGUGAAGUUUGCUAAGAAGAAAUUGUACACUUGGACCAUUGAAUCAAUUCACCACUUCAUAUGUGUUUUGAAAAUCAUUAUAUGACAAUUUAGAGAAAAGGUGGGAGACGUGAGAGAGAAAGAGAAGGUAAGCUCCUUCAUAUUUAUUUAGUGGUUUCGAGUAUGAAUUUUGGGAAUGAAAUCACCUUUAAAAGAGAUAAGAGCCGUAGGUCGGAUGCUAGAUUCACAAUACUAAGUUCUGCGUCCACUAUCGUCUUGAGGCUAGAGGAGUUUUAAGGUACGUAUGACCCUCAAUGUAAAACUAGGUUAAACUGUUAGGGAGAACACACUUUAUUUACUUAAUUAUUCUUCAACACGUCCCCUCAUUCACAUAUUGGACGUUCCAAUUCUUUUAUUUAUUAGCCGAGACUUGAACCUAGGGCCUCAACCUAGUCUCAUACAAUGUUGAAAUUGUGCGAUCCAGAAGUCAUAAAUUUCAUUGAGGUAGUUCAAUGGUUAAUUUAUGUGAUACUAAUAUCAUAUCAUAUCAUCAUAUUAUGCUAUAAGUGGGAAGAAUUUUAGGAAAAAGUUAGAUUACUAUUUUACCCUUACACUAAAUCAUAAUCUAAUUAAUCAAAUAUUAGUAAAAUAAAUUUCUAAUUUAUUAUAUAGUCUUAAUUACUCUUAAUUUAAAAGUUAAAAAAGUUAAAAAGAUAAUUACAUUUAAUAUAUAUAUAUAUAUAUAUUUAUUUUAUAAGCCAACAAGAAAAGGACCAACACUGCAAUACUGAAUUGUACAUCAGGUUGUAUGAAUUGUACUGUUUAUUUAGGCUAUUACACACUUCUCUUUGCCAAAAAAAUAAGCUAAUAAGAGUUGUACAAACAGCUGUAUGUGCUUGUACAAGAGACUUUAAUAAUUAUACUUUAUAGACAACAAGUACAUAAAGCCACGUGUAGGCACAGAAACAUGUAUCUUGCCAUUACUCACUCAUCCUCCACCUUAACCAAAUUUCCUCUGAAGUUUGUCUUUUUUUUUUUUUGGAGCAACUUCAAGCUCUCUGUUUCUGCCAAAUGAUGAAGUAGGGGAAAAGACAUCAAAAGUCAUGGUUAGUCCUUCUACUUUCUUUAUUUUUGCCAAAUUUUGCUUCAUUUAUUUGAAUUAUCUCAUUCAAGCUUCUUUAUGGGAUUUUGCCGGAAAGUUCCAGCUAAUGAGCAUAUUAUUUCUUAUUUUUCGGUUUAGAUCUAAUUUAUCAAUGAUUGUUUUAUUUAAGUAUUUUAUUUCUUCAAAAAUAAUUGGGACGUUUUCUUAGAUGUUGUAUUUCUCUCCCUGUUUAUUUAUUUAUUCAUUUGUUGGUUCUUAAUUUGUUCAUUGGUAAGCAUUCCAAUUCGACCUUUUUCUAUUUUGUUUGUAAUUUCUUGUGUUUUUGUGUAAUUUUUUCUUACCUGAUGUAAUCCGUUCCCGACAUGCAUAUUCUGAUUUUUUUUCCUUCUUAAGAAGUUUGCUCUGAAACAACGAGGUAAUUCAUUUCUUCCCUUUUUUGUACUUUUUCAUCCAAGUUCUUUGGUGAUGUGACAUUGAAGUAAAUAAAGUGACUAUUACGAAGUAAGUUGCACACCUUAAGUGUUUGAUGAUAUGCCAGAGUCAAUUGAAUAAUUAUUGUUUUUCUUUUUUAUCACAGAUGUUCUUCAAGAUUCUCAUCUACAAGGUACAAUAUUUACUUCUAAUGAACUACAUUUGUCUUCAAUAUAUGUGUGGUAUUAUCAUUAUGAUCCUCCAAUACUUAUAUGUUUUUGCAGAAAUCCCGAUCCCCUAUAUAAUAAUGAUAAUAAGAGAAUGUGAAAUCAAACAGUGUGACACUUAUUCUUUGGAUGAUUUGGUGUAUUUUGAUUUGCAUUGAAUGUUAAUAAAAGUGUACAGUGUACUACCAUUUUACGUUCUUGAGAAUUACUGUUAUCUCCUGUAUUCAGGUUAGUCAAAUAUACAAAAACAGAAAAUAGAUGAAAUUGACAGAAUGCUUUUAAUCCGAGUCCACAGAAAUUACUGUGUUUCCUUAAAAAAUUUAAUCCAGAUUAAUUCCUCCCAAGAUUAAACGGAUUAACCUGUUAGAGAAGUAGUGGUACCUCAAACUUUAAUAACUUCAGCGAACGCAAAAACAACAACAAGAUCAGAAGGCAACAUAGUUGGGAUGGUAAAAUGACUGAGGAGUUUGUUCCAAGGCACCUACCGAUGCGACAGGCAAAGCAAAACCAUUUGACAGUAUCAAUAGGUUCAACUAGAUCCAAUAAAUCCAUAAAGAAGAUAUGAAUCAUCAAGUGUUGUUGGAUAGGUUUGAAGAAGAAGACAAGAGAAAAAUACUUCAAGUUACUUUUGAUGGACAAUCAAUCUUUUUUAAUUCAUACUUUAGUAAUAGAAAGUUUGAGGUUGAUAACUCAACUUUCUUCUUGAUUGACAUAUUUUUACAUUAUUUAAGCAUCCUCAUUUGUAAUAUCAUCAUGGAGUGUAUUAUAAACUCUGUGAUGAUCAGAAAAUACUUAGUUUUCUCUAGCUUUUAUUUUCUUCAUGCUUGUUAGGUAGCAGAAGUUAGGUACUUCAUUAGGAUUAGUAAGGUAAGGCCUAGCCCCCCUUGCUUGUACUUGUCCCUAUUGAUAUUUUUUAUGUUUAAUAAAAGACCGCUAGACACUGUCUAAUGGUAAAUUUGUUUUUAGAAAAAAAAAAAAAAAAAAAAAAAAAAAAAAAAAGAGAGCCAGGAUUCUAGUUUUGAGAGAGCAAAAACAAAAAUAAUGGCAAAAUAAGCAUAGAGAAGAAAGAGAGGAAAAAUUUUCAGUGUUUGAAAAACGGAAAAAACCUCUUAUUUAUAGCCUUUUACAGCAAGGAACGCGUCUGUCCAGACCCAUUUUUUCCAGACCGUUGUCUUUUUGGGAAAAGUAACGACUUUUCGGAAGGAACAAAUCCUUUCAAACGAAUUUACCGUUACGUGCGAAUUUCAAAUAAUUCGUUAUGAAAUUAAUUCUGUUGUUUAACUAACAUUCUGAAUUAAUUUAUAAGAGAAAGAAAAUCAGUUAAUAAGAUUGAUUAAAUAAAUUUUGUCCAAAAAUAUUAUUAAUCAAUCACAUCAUUUGCCAAAUCCAAAUCCGAAGCCGAGCGAGCGACGGCGCGAGGGUGCACCUUCUUCUUAACCCUUUAAGAACUAAAGGAAGUGUUUCCUAAUAUAAUCACAACAAUUUCCUUUCUUCUACCAAUAUGGUAAAAAUGACUUUUCAUUUGGACUUUGCAAUGACUUUUCAUUUUCCCUCCAAAAUUGGUUCCCCCACUUUCCAUUUUUUCUUCUUAUUUUCCAUUCACACCUUGCUAAACCCAACAAUUACUUCAAUAGUUACCGUAAAAUUAUAGAGAUGCCAGUACAUAAGGCACCAAUUAGGACUUUAAGUUGUAAGAUUCUUCUCGAGUGUAAUAACUACACCACAUGUUGUAAGUAAGAAUGUCAACUUAAUUUAAAUUGAAUGAACUUCUACCACCUUGGUGUGCUACUAGCAUAAAAAAUCUCGGAUAAUUUGGCUGGAAACCUUACGAGAUGUGAGCACCCAGAGUUUUUGAAUCUUGGCUUGGCAAGCUCUUUACCCCCCCCCCCCCCCCUCUCAUGCUCAUAUCUCUAGGAUGUAGUUGAAGAUUCACAAAAUAAUUUUCGAGUUUCAGUUUCACUAAUUCAGAAGAAUGACAAUGAAGGCCUGUUAUGUGUACUUCUCUUAUUUAGUCAAACUCUUAAAAUGAUACAAAUAAAUCAAUAAAAGGACAAUGUAAAUGAGAUACGUGGUGGUUGGACUUUGUUAACAUAGAGCGAGUUCCACAAUUCCUUCCACUUUGAGAUCCUUGUAACCAAUCGUAUGGUGUAAAUGAUUUUCCAAUAUUUGAUAAGUACCAUCAGAUUGAAAACUAAAAUUCUGCAUAAAUAGCAAUUGAGAGAAUGAAAACUCAUGAAAAUGGAGAGAAAAGAGGAAGAACGACACUGCAAGAAAGUAACACAAAAAAAUAAAAAUAAACUACAAGAAAACACUGAUCAAAAAGGAAAGGGAAAGAAUAAGUAUCCACCAAAGAUAGUACAAAAACAGGCAUAGAACAGUGAGGAAGCACAAAUAUAUUUAAAGUUUUGAUGAAAAUUUAUAAAGAAGAGGCUGAAGUUUGGUAGGUAUAGGAUGAAUUUUAUAUGCAUAUGCAGCCAAGUUAUUUAAUGAAGGCCCGUGCUAUGUAUCCUUUUGUGCUAAUUACUAAUGUAGUUUAAAAUUGUUGCUUUAUUUUAGCAGAUAACUAAAUGAGAGUUGACAUGACAAGAUGACCAGAAAGAAACAAGUUAGUCCUACAUGGCUUUAGUGAAAUGAACACUGUCCCAGUUAAUGUACUGAGAAGGGUCAGGACAAGAGAAGAGAACUGAAACGUUGAACACGUGAAAGUCAAUAUUUGUCUGUUUCAUGUUGAUUUCAAUUUCACGUUUUAUACAGAAGUAAUUUGUGAUAACAGUGAGACAAUAUUUGAAUAUGAUCACGUUACUACUGAGGGAUAAACUUGAGAAAACUAUAUAAUCUAUGUGACGCUUUCAAGAAUGUAUCUGCAACCAGAUUCUUGGAGUCCCUUAUAUACUACUUUGGUUAAAGAUGCUCCAUUAUGUUAAUAUUAUUGAUCAUGUCCUGCAGAUCUCUACCUCUUUACUGUUAGUAUUAGGGUCCUCUCCCUCUUCUAGUGAAUUUUUUUUGUUCUCUUUGCUUUUCAUGCUUUCAAUGUUAGAUCUGUCUGAUGUUUUUGCUGAUUGUCUGUGAUAGUGGUAAGGAUACUUUUUUUCACUUUCAAUGUUGCAUCUGUCUAUUUCAAUUUCUAUAUGGUAUAACAAGAAUUAAUGCAUGUCACUCUAUUAUUUGUUAAGUCUAUUUUUUUUUUUAUAUCAUGUUCAAUUUCAAACAGAAACUUGCUAUAGGUUAGACCAUCAUACUUUUUGCUGGCGGACUUCACCAAUUACUGUUUUGAAGGUGAUGAAGUCAGUUUUUCUACGAUUUUCAUUAAAGAAAGAGUUGCUUCUUAUGUUUAAUUAAUUUGACCCUUGCUUUGCAGUUGAUGGCUUGAGGACAAAUACAGAAUAUUUUGGAUACAAUAUUGCAUCAACAUCCAUCUGUUAUUCAAUGAUUUGAAAAAGUCGUUCAAGAUUUUAGCAAGGAAGACAAAGCUCGCCUUCUUCACUCAUCGUCUAACAAAUCUGUCUACUUCUCCAAGUGUCGUUAAAAGGAUUUACUUCCCUGCAAGGAGUAUUCAGGUUUCAAAUCCAAAAAGUUUAUGCUAGACCUGUUCACUUGCCUUAAGCACAUUCAUGGUAAUUAUUUUAUCAUCUGAAAGUGAACUAUGAUUAUCCAAAAAUAAAUUUUGAUUGUCCUCCUGAUGCUGAAGAAUUUUCUCAGUCAUGUUGUUCCUCUCUAAGUUACUUAACUUUUUUUCAUUUUUGUUAUCAUCCUAAUUUACUUUUAUUACUAAAGAUACCAAUAGAAGUCUUCGUUCCUUCCUCUGUCCAAAUUACUUCUCCUGCUUUUCUUUUUAUGUGCAUCCUAACUUUACUAUAGAUGAAUUGACAUUUUCCCUUGUAUUAUGCUGCAUAUUUAAUUUGUAGUACGUAUAAUUUUUCGACGAAUAUAUGUGGCUACGCCAUUGAUCUGAGUGGAUAGUAGUUUCUUCUGAACCAGUAUUUUGUUUUUGGAAGCUCUAUCAUUUAGAUUUGUGGAUGAGAGUGACAUUUGACUCUCUCCAUUUGUUUUGUUUUGUUUUCUAGAUUCUGAAAUGAAGAAAGAGGAGAAAAGGAAAUGAGGACUUUAUGAACAGGGGCUAUAAAUUAGAAGUAGUCCUAAUCAUUUAUCUUUGUUGAAACAUGUGAAGUAUGUAUUUAUGGUGGGCAUGAUUACAAUACUUGAGAGAUUGAAAUGGUACGUAAAACGUAAUUAUAAAAGUUGGAGUCUCAAGAGACAUGAAAAUUUGAAAGGUCAAUUACUAUUAAAAUAAAUAUAAAAAGAUAGAGCAUAAAUUUAAUUCAUUAACUUUUAAAAUUAAAUUAAUAGACUUCUAAACAAUAUGCAUUGAAUCUUAUUGUAGAAAGUUAUUCCAUAUUCCCAAAUUUAUUGAAAAUUUCAAAUUCUUAAUUAUUAGUUCAAUUAAAAUGUUUAAUUCCUCUCAUCUUUCAUAUAAUUAAAUAUCAUGUCUUUUCAUAUACUUUAUAGGAUUUUAUAAAUUUGGACAGAAAAAUUUAUACUAUUCAAUCACAUAGUCAAAUGCUCUAUAAAACUCAAAGUAAAAAUCAUCUUAUUAGUUUGUAUUCACAACUUACGCAACUUCUACAAGCUUUUCAUCAUCAUGUAUUCAUCACUCAUUUUCUAUUUUUGGGUUUCAAUUACAAAACAAUAUUGAGUUUUGGGUUUAAGAAUUAUAUUGCUUCAUCGUGAGAAUGUUGGAGGCAAAACACAUUAUGGUCCUUUUUUCGAUUUUGAAAAUACCUUUAUUUGAGUAUGAGGAACAGGCCGAAAAUAUUACAUAAUUUAUGUUUAAAUAUUCUUAAUUAUUUUUGAUUUAUAUGAAGCAACUUCUUUCAAUGUGGGUUGUAUCAUUAUUUGUGUCUUUUUUACUAAUGUUCCUUAGUUAUCUUGCUCAAAAGAUCCUUCUUUUUGUGUGUAUAUAUAUAUUUGCACUUUAUUUACUGAUUUUGUAUUUUAUUGAUAAGUUUUUUUGGGGUUUGCAAUUAUUUUCGUCUUUUAAUAGAUUUUUGGUGAUGAUCUCUUAUAUAAAAUGAAUAGAAAAUAUUAGUCCACUUCACUUUUGUGUUUCAUCAUCUUAUAAUUCUUAUACAUUUAUGUAAAAUCAAUAUGUUGGUCAUUUUUCCCUGAUUAACAUGGUAAAUAUAUAUUUAAUCUUUGUCUUUAUUAAUUUUGUUAUAUAUGUUGUUAACGUCCAUUUCGUAAAUUUAGAGUAAGAGUUCAUCACUAUAUCACAUACUAUAUGCUAUAUUAUCGUAAUUAGUUUUAUAUUUUUCAAUAUUUUUCAUUUUGCAGACAAAUAACCAAAAUUAAAUUAAGAGAAUUAAUUGACAUUGUUAUAUUUGCACAGAACAACAUAUGCAAAAGAAUAGUGUAAUUGAUAAUUAUCAACGUUAAAUUAGACCUAUACAAAUUUGUAUGACAGUAAAGAAUAAACGUGCAACGCACGUUUUCAGAACUAGUUGACAUAUACACCGGUAUAAUUUCAGCGAGGGAUGAUCAAAUGGCAUAAGAGUUUGUUUUUUAAAAAUAAAAUAAAAUAAAAUUGGGAGUAGGGGAUUACAAGUUGCGGAAUUGAAUUGGUACCUUACCAACAAGGUGAAAGUUCAAGUAGUCAACUAACUGAGCUACUAAGGUUCCAUGCUAUAAGAGUGUGACACCGUGUGUAAGUCGGUUUAAGUUAACAGAGAUUUGGAAAACAUAUAUAGUUUGUUAUUUGCCUUUCUCGAUUAUAUUAAAUAUGUGCUUACUCUACUUUGAGACAACAUAAAAGAAGAUACACAUCUUAGAUUUAUUUGUUGAUAAUCAAGCCACCCUCGGAUUCUUCCCUAUUGAUAUUAAUGAGGUGGGCGGAAAGGAUAAUGCCUAAUAUAUGGAUACAUAUAUUUCCCUCUAACCAUUCUGAGUUGACACUCACAAGUGAACAAAGAGGUGGAUCAUUUGAUCUUGAAUUAUGUCGUCUCAGUUAUCCAGAUCUUUCUAUCUCUAUUCAUUUUGUCAGGUACUUGAAUCAUAUGAUUUUGAGGAAUUUGCUUUCAACAUUCAUUUUACUGGACCAAAACGAGACCUUUCCGUGCUAGUUGUCAGUUUGAUAUCCAAGUGUUGAAAUCACUCAUUUUAGAUAAGUAGAUAAAUUUGACUUGAGCAAGUGUGGAAGGGAAAUUGUGAGAUUUAUUGAAACCAACCAGUAUUCCAAAACAGAAUCAUGCACAAAUCAAGUGACUAAAAAAAAAAACCAAUCCUUACAUGAAUCCAACAAUUUAGUAAACAUUUGCAACAAAUAAGUGAUUCCGAGAACAUUGCUCAGCAUGCAAGAAGUUGAAUCUUGAUCUUUUGUAGCAUCCCUACAACAUCUUUCAUGUUUGUCCUUCUUGCCGCAGAUUCAGCACAACAAUCUAAUGCCACUUUCAUGAUUGAUGCCACGAUAUCUAACUCCUUCUGUAAGCAAUUAUCCAUUGAUGUUAUCAAGUUGGCAUCUACAACAUCCAUUACUGCCUCUGGGAAUGAAUAACUCACCCAUUGCUUCAAGCUAAGAUCUCCCUCAAACUCAUUAGGCUUUUUCCUAGUAAACGUCUCUAGCAACAUGAUCCCAUAACUAUAGACAUCACAUUUUAUAGACACCAAUCCAUCCAGUCCAUACUCUAUAAACAAACAAUUCAUUUGAAGAUUUAACAUAAUUUCUUGGUGAAAAAGAAAAAGAAAGGAAAAGUCAAACAAAACAAAUUAAGAGACGUACCUGGUGCAAUAUAACCCAAUGUUGCUAAGGUUUUAGUGUAUAAAUCACUCUCAUCUUCACCAAGCAGUUUUGAAAUACCAAAGUCGCUUAGGUGGGCAACCAUAUCCUUAUCCAGCAAGACGUUACUAGGCUUCAGGUCACAAUGAAUCACCGGAGAGGAGCAUCCAUGAUGAAGAUAUUCCAACGCGCAUGCUACAUCUAUCAUAAUGCUAAGUCUCUGCCUAAUGUCUAGGAAGUAGUUGUUUGAAUACAAAUACUUGUCAAGACUUCCAUUAGGCAUAAACUCGAGCACUAAAGCCUUAAAAUCAAGGUUGGAACAACUAGUGAUGACUUUCACGAGAUUCCUAUGGCGAAGGCAGCGCAAAACUUCACAUUCUGUAUCAAAACUCUUGAAUGCCGCUUCCCGUUGCAAAUUGAACACUUUAACUGCAAUAUGAGUUCCACUUCUGAGAAUGCCUUUGUAGACAGAGCCAAAACUUCCAGAACCAAUCAGAUUACUCUCGCUAAGCGAAUCAGUUGCUUGGAGCAGUUCAUAGUAUGAAAAUUCUUUCUGUUGUUGCCAUAGACAAUGAACCAGUUUGUUGAGGAGCUCGUUUACCUCUUCUAUACCUUAUCCAUAGGAAUAGGAAGGCGAUAGGAACAAAUACAAGUGUUAUUCCUAGCAAAAGAAAUAGAACUAGCAAUUUUGUCCUAUUUGAUCUAUGCGUUGAUGAAGUGGGGCAUGUGGGGACAUUAAACCUUGACAAACCACACAAUGCUUCGUUGUUGAUGAAAAAUUUACUCGAUAGGCUCUUGAAAGGACCCCCCGAGGGUAUUUCACCGUGCAACUUGUUGNNNNNNNNNNNNNNNNNNNNNNNNNNNNNNNNNNNNNNNNNNNNNNNNNNNNNNNNNNNNNNNNNNNNNNNNNNNNNNNNNNNNNNNNNNNNNNNNNNNNNNNNNNNNNNNNNNNNNNNNNNNNNNNNNNNNNNNNNNNNNNNNNNNNNNNNNNNNNNNNNNNNNNNNNNNNNNNNNNNNNNNNNNNNNNNNNNNNNNNNNNNNNNNNNNNNNNNNNNNNNNNNNNNNNNNNNNNNNNNNNNNNNNNNNNNNNNNNNNNNNNNNNNNNNNNNNNNNNNNNNNNNNNNNNNNNNNNNNNNNNNNNNNNNNNNNNNNNNNNNNNNNNNNNNNNNNNNNNNNNNNNNNNNNNNNNNNNNNNNNNNNGGGACAUUAAACCUUGACAAACCACACAAUGCUUCGUUGUUGAUGAAAAAUUGACUCGAGAGGUUCUUGAAAGGACCCCCCGAUGGUAUUUCACCAUGCAACUUAUUGUCAGAAACAUUAAAAUACUUGAGGUAUUGAAGUUUCUCCAAAGACAUGGGAAUAGUUCCCGAUAUAUUAUUAUGAGAAAUGUCUAGAAAUUCCAAACCUACCAUGUUGCUCAUUGAGUCAGGUAUAGAUCCUUGCAACUUGUUGUGUCUCAAAGUAAAGUUCUCUAGAUUUAGCAAUCCUCCAAUUUCUAUAGGAAUACCAUUUGAGAAUUGAUUCAUUGACAGAUCAAUUAGUGUCGCAGCCUUUAGAUUUCCAAUUUCUGGAGGUAAAGAACCAACCAUGUUGUUUGACGAUAAGUCAAGAAGCACUAAAUCUUUAAGAUUCCCCAAGCUUGUUGGUAUAUUGGAACUCAAUUUAUUGGAAGCAAGAUAUAUCAAUCUAAGGGAAGUAACGUUCCCAAACAAUUAGGAAGAGAUCCUGAAAGUUGAUUUUGACCCAAGUCAAUAGCACCCAAAUGAUUCAGUUUACAUAUAUGAUCUCCAAUAAAUCCUGUAAGUUUGUUGUACUGAAAAUACAUACGCUGAAGGUUUCUCAAGUUGUGAGUUGAUGUUGGAAUCGAUCCAAUUAAGUUAUUAUCAGAAAGAUCAAGGUCUAAUAAGCUGCUUAAGUUUCCAACUUCAUUUGGAAUCUGGCCGUUAAUCUUGCUAUCAGUGGCAUAAAGCUUUACAAGAGAUUUGGAGAAGUUCCCUACGGAGACCGGAAGCAUUCCAUUUAGAGGGUUGAAUGAUAGAUCAAGAAGUCUUAAAUUUCUGCAAUUGGUUAAGGAAGUGAGGAAGCUUAAAAAUGAAUCACUGGUUAAAUUAUUUUCUGGCAAAUUUAGGUUCUGUAGAUGAGUCAAAUAUCCAAGAGAAUUGGGAAUCAGGCCUGUGAGUUUGUUACCUGAAAGCUCUAGGAUAGUAAGCUUUGAGCAAUUGGAAAUAGAAUGAGGAAUAGUCCCAACAAGAUUGGUCAAGUCACUGAUAUAAAGCUCUUCAAUGUUGGGUAAGGUAGAACCUAUGUUUGGUGGGAUGGUUCCUGAUAGAUUAUUCAAUGAAAGAGCCAUUGCUCUCAUCCCUGAUAUAUUGAAGAUCUCCAUUGGAAGUGAACCACUAAAACUAUUAAACCCAAGAGCAAGUUCCUCCAACUCAACCAGAUUUCUUAUCUCUUUGGGUAUUUCACCUGUCAACACAUGAUCAAUGAAUUUAGCUAGCUAGUUCAUUAAUACAGAUUGCUAUAUAUCACUUUGAAUACGUACCAGUAAACCUAUUGUUGUUAAGAUAUAAAACUUGUAUCUUGGUUAAGUUGCCAAUCUCCCGUGGUAAGGAUCCCUUGAGAUUGUUCCCCCUUAGUGAAACAAAUUGCAAUGAGGAGAUUUGAAUAUAGAGAUUGGGAUAGAGCCGGUAAUCUGGUUUACAUCCACGGCUAAUUCCACCAAAUUAACAAGAUUUCCGAUUUCUUGUGGAAUUAUACCUGCAUUUAAUGUGUAAUAAAAAAAGAUCUGAGGUUAUUAGGUACAAUACAUUACUAGCAUUCGUAAAAUAAAACAUAUAUACCUGUGAAAUGGUUAGAUCCGAGAUACAAUAUCUGCAAGUUACUCAAUCUUCCAAUUUCACUGUGUAUUGGUCCAUCAAAAUCAUUUACAGAUAGAGACAAUAUUUGAAGUUGUGAACAAUUUGACAAGCUUAUAGGCAUAUGACCAUGAAGCUUGUUCAUUGAUAGAUGAAGCUCUUUGAGUAUUGGAAGACGAUUGCAUAAAUCAUUGGGAAGCUUUCCUGAUACGCUAUUGUUUGAAAAUGCGAUGACUUGGAUACUAGAAAUAUUGAAAAUUGUGAAUGGUAUAGAACCUGUAAGCUGAUUAUGUUCCAUGGACAACACAUUCAGGUUGUGAAGAUUGCCAAUCUCUUCUGGAAUAGAACCUAUGAAUUUGUUUCUACCCAAGAUUAAAACUCUCAAGUUUUCAAGACUUCCAAUUGCUUUUGGGAUUUGACCCUCUAUUGAAUUGAAUCUCAGAUUCAAAGUUUCAAGUGUGGAAAUAUUAGAAAAUGAACAAGGGAUGGAACCAGUGAAUCUAUUAUUUCCAAGAUUUAAAACUUCAAGUUUGUGUAAGAACCCAAACCAAGAAGGAACCUCCCCUCUAAAGUUGUUCAAACUUAAAUCAAGAUACUUAAGCCGACGCAAGUGUGCUAUUUCUUGAGGCAAAUUUCCAUGGAAAUUGUUGCUUCUCAAGACAAGAGAAACAAGAAAUGUGAGGUUUCCUAAAUCACGGGGGAUCCUUCCUGUAAGAGCCAUGUUGGAAAGAUUCAAGGACUUCACUCAAGACAAGAGAAACAAGAAAUGUGAGGUUUCCUAAAUCACGGGGGAUCCUUCCUGUAAGAGCCAUGCUGGAAAGAUUCAAGGACUUCACUCUGUGAUGACGAGAGUCACAUGUGAUUCCUACCCAAUGGCAAACAGAAGUAGUGGGAGACCAACUAUCAUCCAAGAAAUGAAAGGGGUCCGAAAUAAUUUGAGAUUUUAAAGAAAAAAGAGUUAACUGAUCCGUAGAAACAUUGGCAAGAGUCAUGACUGAACUAGGCAUAACAAAGUGAAACAACAAGAGUAGUGUUAAAAGAAAAGAUCUCAAGGCUUUCUCCAUAUGUAAAAUUAUUAGUAGUAGGAAAAUGGUAUUACUAGCAGACUGUUCUUUUGAAUCUUUUUUAAAAGGGGAAAAGGAAAAACAUAUCAGCAUUAAUGCAACUAAAUUAUUGUUUCAAUGAAACAAAAAAAAUGUGUCUUUUAUUGGUUGUUGUGAGUUUGAUAUCAAGUGUUGAAACCACUCAUUUUAAAUAAAUAGAUAAAUUUUCCAAGUUAUGUGGGGCAUAAAUUUGACUCAUGUCGUCAAUAUGGUAGACUGAUAAUAAUUGGUGCAAUAUCAUGUUAAACUAUUGGUGCUGUAUCAUGGUAGACGGAAAAUUCUUAUCUAUGUUGUGAAAAUUCACAAAAUUUCACUUAAUUUGUUAAAAGUUUGGUUUAUCUAUGUCAUUGUUGUUAAAGAAAAAGCUCAUUAAUGCCAUUUUUUAACUCCAAUUUUGCAAAACCAUUUUUUACACCGCAAACAAGGUUUAACACUUUUUAAUUGAAGUUUUUGGAUCAAAUGUACACUUUUUGCUUAUUUUUCUUUAAGAACACCAAAAACACAUGAAGAACAUACUUCCUCUGUCACAAUUCAUGUGACACAUUUCGAAUUUCGAGAUUCAAACAACUCUAUCUUUGACCGUAAAUUUUUCAUAUAUCUUUUAAAUAUUUUGAAUUAUCAAUUAGUGAGACUUAUAGUACUUUUAAUGUAGUUUAUAAAUAUAUAAAUUUCAUUUUAAAAAAAUUGAAGAUUUCAUGUGCAAAUUCUCAGUCAAACUUAAACUGUUUGACUCUUGAAAAGCAAAAUGUGUCACAUAAAUUGGGACAGAGGGAGUAAAUAACUUCCAAAUUUUCAACAUCUUCAAUUAUUCACGAAAUCAUCUCAAAUUUCGGCGCGCAUAGUUUGUUACGUCAGUUCCAAAAGGAUAAGUUGGGUUGGAAUUGAUAAAGUUCCAUGGAGUUCAUGAUUGCACAAAAGGACUAGUUAAAGUAGUGGUUGAGGCGCGUAGAGGCACUUCUACGACGAUUGUUGUACAUCCACCUUACUGACUCAUAUAUGUUUGAGGCUGGUGAAAGGAAAUGCGGAUUGAUUUCACAUAAUGGAAAGAUGGGACUUAAGAAUAUCUCUCUCCACUGGGACAUAUAAUGGAAAAGGACCUAUCACAUAAUGGAAAGAUGGUAUUACUAGUAACAUGUGUUUAGGAGACUUUUCUUUUGAAGCUUUUUAAAAAGGGGAAACGGAAAAACAUAUCAGCAACUAAAUUAUUGUUUCAAUGAAACAAAAAAAAUGUGUCUUUUAUUGGUUGUUGUGAGUUUGAUAUCAAGUGUUGAAACCACUCAUUUUAAAUAAAUAGAUAAAUUUUCCAAGUUAUGUGGGGCAUAAAUUUAACUCAUGUCGUUAAUAUGGUAGACUGAUAAUAAUUGAUGCAAUAUCAUGUUAAAUUAUUGGUGCUGUAUCAUGGUAGACGGAUAAAUCUUAUCUGUGUUGUGAAAAUUCACAAAAUUUUACCACACAAGCAAAACUUUCCAUUGUUUUUCACUUAAUUUGUUAAAAGUUUGGCUCAUUUAUGUCAUUGUUGUUAAAGAAAAAGUUCAUCCAUGCCAUUUUUUAACUCCAAUUUUGCAAAAUCAUUUUUUACACCGCAAACAAGAUUUAACACUUUUUAAUUAAAGUUUUUGAAUCAAAUGUACACUUUUUGCUUAUUUUUCUUUAAGAACACCAAGAACACAUGAAGAACAUAAAUAACUUCCAAAAUUUCAACAUCUUCAAUUAUUCAUGAAAUCAUCUCAAAUUUCGGCUACAUCAUUAAUUUCUUUUUUAAAAAACUAAAAAUCUAAAAUCAUUUGUAGAGUUUGAAAAAUUCACCCACAUUAAAAAAAAAUCCAAAAAAUGAAAAUCAAUCCCAAAAUUUCAAAAUUUUGUUUUGUUUCGUGUUUUUGUACUUGUUUUUUACAUUAGAUCCUUGUUGCCUAGUGUUUUUUGAGUCUAUGUUCAAAUUUUCAAAUGAUUUGAAGUGUGGAGAAAAUUCUAUCAUUAAAGAAUGUUGAAAUUUUGAAUAAAUUUCAAGUGGGUCUUGUUGAGUUAGGUUGAAUUCGAGCUCAAAAGAUAUUGAGUUUUGGGGUGUACAAAAUCGAACCGAAAACCGAACCAAACCGCAAAUCGAGUCAACCCGAAAAAAAACAAACCCGACUAGUGGUUUGGUAUUGAAAAAAAAAACCCGACUAUAUUUGGGUUGGUUUGGUUUUAACUAAAAAAAACCAAACCGAGACCAAACCAACCCGACAUUAUAUAUAUAAUUUUAAAAUUUUAUUUUAUACAUAAAAAUAUUUACUUUGAUAUAAUUUUUAAAUAUUUCUUAUACUUUUUCAUAGUUUUUAUCUUUUAAUAUAUUAUUUCAAGUUUAAAACUUAGAAUUCGGAAUGGUCCUAUAAAGAUUAUAGUUCAUAGAUGUUGAUAAUUAUAAUAAAACUUAAAUCAAAAUCAAAUUAUUUAGUCAUGUAACUAAUACUUAUUAAACUUAUUUUAGCAUGAUUUAGUACUUUCAAAUUAUGAUCAUUUUCAUUAUGACUUGUUAAUUUGCAAUAUUUGUUUUACGCGAUUUCAUUAUUAUUACUAUUUUUGUUGGAUAUUUUAGUGUCAUUAAUCAUAUCAUAUUGUGUUAUUUUUUUAAGAAAUACCUUAGAUAUUUGUAUUUUGGUAGGACUAAAAAAUAUUUGAAGUACAAGUAAAUUAUAUAUUUGUAUGAAUAUUUACCGGAAAAACCCGAAACAACCCCAAAAACUAAAAAAAAUAUGAAAAAACCCGAGGUUGAAAAGCCCAAGUUUUAUUGGUUUGGUUUAUAAAUUUUAAAAUCCGACACAAUUGGUUUGGUUUGAUAUUUGAAAAACCCGAACUAACCCGGCCAUGUACACCCCUAAGUUUUGGUAUCUAGCUCGGAGGGAAACUACUCUUGAAAUUUGAGGCAAUUUCGUGAAGAAUUGACAAGUUUGAAAUUUGGAAAUUGUUAAUGUUCUUUAUGUGUUCUUAAGGAAGUAGAAGCAAAAAAUAUACCUUUGAUCCAGAAACACCAAUCAAAAAGUGUUAAACCUUGUUUUGGGGUAUCAAAAAUGGUUUUGCAAAAUCAAAGUUAAAAAAAAUGGACAAUGACAUAUAUGAGCCAAACUUUUAACAGAUGACAUAAAUGAGUUUUUUCUAAAAUUUCGAUGACAUAUUUGAGCCUUUUCCUUUUUUGUAUGUUGUUAAAUUAUCUUUCCUUAUUUCUCUCAAUAAUCUUCUCUUAUGUAAUAUUAAAAUGUAACACUAAAGUACGCUAUGAACUAAGGGUCUAUUAUUACAAGGUAAGGGGUAAGGAUGCAUACAUAUCGUAUUUCUAAGACUUUACUUAUAAAAGGACCCUAAAAACCACCGAGAAAAAACAAUAUAAAGAUCGGAAAUGAUUUCAUUUUUUAAGAACCAAAUUUAAGGAAAGGACAUGAUCGGAAAUGAUUUCAUUUUUAAGGGAUUUAUUGUAAAAAGAAAACAAUAAAUUGGUGUCUGAUGAUUUGAACAAAUUGGUAAGGGUUAUGUGAAUAAUUAUGUGAACAAACUGUAGUACCGAUACAUAAAAAUAUUGUAAAAAAAUUUGCUGUGUUCUUUAUUAUGGACGAUACAUUAGUGUGAAUAAUUAUGUGACAAGUUGUGAAACACUGUAACAUUAUAUAUUUGAAAUGCUUUUGUUAUAUGCCUUAUUCUGAUGAAUUUUUUUUGGCAGCUAUGUGAUAGUGUGCUUCAGUGAUGAAUGUGGCUGGUGUUUAAAGUCUUCUUGCAGAAAGAAAUUCGAUGUAUUCAAAGUGAGAUACUUCAAUAGUGAACAUACAUGUCCGAUGCGGGAUAGGAUACUAACAAAAGUACAAGCAACAAUUGGAUUUAUUAGUGGUGUGACUGCCCCUAAGUUGGUAAAUCAUAAACGAAUUCAUACGCCGAAAGAUGUAAUUGAAGAUAUUCGAGAAUUAUAUGGGUUGAAAUAUCAUACCAACAAGCAUGACGUGCUAAGGAACGUGCACUAGAGAUACUAAAGGGUAAACCAUUAGAUGGAUACAAGCAGAUGCCGAGAUACAUAAGGAUGCUAAAUAAAGUGUAUCCAAAUUCAUAUAUAAGGAUGCAAAAGAUGGAAGAUAAUCAAUUCAUGUAUCUUUUCAUAACCCUAAGGCCAUUGAUGAGAGGGUUCGACUACUGCAGACCUGUAGUUGUAGUGGACGGUGCACAUCUUGGCAGGGCUUACAAAGGUACUUUUGUAUCAGCUAGCACACUCGAUGGUGCAGGUUUGACUGUUGCAAUACUGAUGUAAUUUUGAACUUGUUUUAUAUGUAUAAUCAAUGUAUCUUAAUGUAAUCGUUAUGUAUCAAUAAGUUAAAUGUGUGUUGCUUUGUGAUUAGGUUGCAUAUUGUCGUUGGCAUAUGGUGUUGUAGACACUGAAAAUGACUGUUCGUGGACAUGGUUCUUCGAACAAUUCAAAAAUGCAUUUGGCGAGCGUGAAAAUAUGUGUAUUGUAUCAGAUAGAAAUGAAAGUAUUAUGAAGAGUGUAAGCAUUGUGUUCCCAAAUGUACCUCAUUGUGCAUGCAUAUGGCAUCUUUGGAAGAAUGUCUGUUCAAACUUCAAAAGAAAUAAAAACACACUAACUGAUAUAUUUUACUCAAUGGCAAAGGCAUACAUAAAGGAGGAUUUUGAUAAAUUAAUGGCUAAGGUGGUGAAAGUUGAUCAUAGGGUGAAGGAUUACCUUGAGGAUGCUGGGUAUGAGAAGUGGUCAAGAGUUCAUUCAAUAGUAAACAGAGGUAGAAUGAUGACUUCGAACAUCGCAGAGUGUAUCAAUGGUUGCCUUGUUGAUGCACGUCGGUUAACUAUAAUAGACUUCUUGGAGGAAGCUAGACUUCUAUUUAUUAGUUGAAACUGUAAAAAUAGAAAAAUAGCGUUAUAUACAAAGGACACAUUGGGCCGAAGAUUUGAGGAGGUAUUGAUUGUAAACGCAUCUAAAAGUUCAAAGAUGAAGGUAUUUAUCAAUAUCCAUAACUUUCUGUUUUAUGUAUCAGAAACUCGGAUCAUUUCACUAUUAAGCAUUGCUUUGGAAAUGAUAUAAAAAUGGAAUAUCAUGUAAUGUAUCACUAACUUAUUAGUGUUUUCAGGUUGUUCCAUCAUCUGAAUAUAUUUUCUCAGGUUAUGAAGCCGGAAGAAGAUACACUGUAUGCCUUGAGCGAAAAUCAUGUACUUGUGGAAGAUUUCAACAAGAUGAGAUACCUUGUGCACACACAAUUGCAGUUUUAAAGCACAAGAAUGUUAAGGAUAUGCAUCCAUAUUGCUCUGAUUACUACAAGCCUGAUGCAUUAGCAAAAACCUACGAGGUUGCAAUGGUUCCAAUGCCGGAUAAGGAGGAUUGGACAGUUCCAGACUAUGUUUUAGAUGAAAUUGUUUUGCCACCUAGGUAUAGAAGGUUGGUUGGACGACCAAGGAAACGAAGAAAGAAAAAUGCGGAUAAGAAGAUAACAGUGAGCAAGAAUUCUUGUGGGCAAUGUGGACAAGAAGGUCACAACAGGAAAACUUGUACUUUCUUCCCGAAAGAUAAGUGAAAUAAUAUUUUUAACUUGCAGUUACUUUUAAAUUGUACUUUCUUCCCAACAAGACAUUUGUGUUCAUGCUCAAUAAAUUGCACUUACAUAUAUUUUUCACUUUAGUAUUUGGAUUAAAUAAAGUGUAUUGUUUACACAAUUUAUUUUGUUGUUCAAACUAAAUAAUUUGUUGAGAAUUUUGUGUCAAUCUUACAUUGAAUAUAAAUUUAUUCUUAUACUGUUGAAUAAAUAAAUAAAUCUGAAUGUAUAAACUUUGAAAAAGGAGAUGAGCAAUCCACUAUAAAUAUGAGAGUACAAAAUAUAGAGAGAAACAACCUCAACCAAUUUACUCGGAAUACAAGGAGGUACACAAAAUACUCCUCCAUAAGUUAGAAGGAACAAACCUAUAUUUAUAGAGUCCUAAAACCUUUCCUACAAGAAAAAGACUAGUUAAAAUAUUAAAGCAUUUUCCUAAAAGGGAAACCUAUUUAUGGUAAGAAAUCAGGGCAGAUAAACCCCAACAAAGUUCAGGUUCUAAGGAUUGCCGAUCCUUUCUGGAAUGUUUCCUUGAAGUAAAUUGGCUGAUAUUUCUAAAGUCUCCAACCUUGAGGCAUUCGAGAGUGACGGAGGAAUGGAACCAGUGAAACUAUUAUUUUCAAGAUUUAGAACUUGAAGUUGGUAUAAAUACCCAAGCCAAGAAGGAAUUUCCCCUCUAAAGUUGUUGAAGCUUAAAUCAAGAAACUUUAGCCGACGCAAGCGUGCCAUUUCUUGAGGCAAAUUUCCAUGCAAAUUGUUGCCACUCAAGUCAAGAGAAAUAAGAAAUGUGAGGUUUCCAACAUCACGGGGAAUCUUCCCUGUAAGAACCAUGUUGGAAAGAUUCAAGGACUUCACUCCCUAGUGACGAGAGCUACAAGUGACUCCUACCCAAUGGCAAAUCGAAGUAGUGGGAGACCAACUUUCAUCCAAAUUGUGAAAGGGGUCCGAAAUGAUUUGAGAUUUUAAAGAAAGAAGAGAUAAUUGAUCAGUGGUAAUAUUGGUUUGGGUCACGGCUGAACUAAUCAUAACAUUGUGAAGCAACAAGAGAACAGAGAUGAUUGUUUUCUCCAUAAUUUCAUAAAUUAGUAGGAAAAUGGUAUGGCUAUUAGUAACUUAUUUUGAAACUUAUAUAGUGAAUUUUUUUUUUUUGGAGACUUUUCUUUUAAAUCAUUUUUAGGAUUAACUUUUCUUCACCAACAAGGGUUGUGAAGUGGUUAGUACUCCAUUCUUAACCAGAGGUUUUGGGUUUGAGUCUCCCUAGUACGAAGUUGCCUUUGUUACGGAGUGCUUGCCCCCCUCUCCCCCAACGUGGAACUUCCUGGGAUGAAUUUGGAGCGGCUCUAAUGUCGGUACCGAACACUGGGUAGAAAACCAAAAACAAUAAAAACCUUUCUUCAUUUAUGUGGGCCCAAGGUCUUGACCAAUUGUAACUGUCACGCCCCGAGCCUACACCCUGGGCGGGACCGGCACUCGGAGACCAUUGCUGGCCCCAAGCGAACCCUUGGCCUGGCUUUCUUAACUCAGCGGAAACCUACUCAACAGAAUAACUCAAUGCCAUGCAAAGACAUAAACAACUUAAAUGAUACACAUCUGGCCAAAAAGGCAACUCGAGUCUCAAAAUAGAAUAUUUACAUAUAUACAUAGAUAAAAGACUCAAAACUAACUGACUGACUGUCUAUGAAGCCUCUAACAUACUGAGAUGGAUGUUGGGACAGACUCCGCAACAUCCUAAUAACACAAAACAUAAAAGAUCAAAAUAUUUGAGUCCUCCGGAAAGCAAGGAGGCUCACCACUGACUCUGGAGUGCUCAACUGGAUCAACGGCGUGCUGAAUGCUGAUCCUGGGUACCUGCGUCUGCAUCAUAAAACGAUGCAGGCCAACUGGCAUCAGUACAUGGAAUGUACGAGUAUGCGAGCUGGAAAGCUAAACCACAACUUAAGCUUGAAAAGAGUACAAGAGAACACUUACCUUGGCUCUAUUCAACUCAUGAAUAACUGAACUCAAUAUAUAAAGCAAUAAGACACAUGCGAUAUAUAAAGCUUGUAAAACUCUUAAAACAUGACGUAAAAAUCAUAUUUAUAAUAUCAUGAAAAGAUCAUGCUUCUGUGGUGAUACAACGUUUUACCUCACGUUGCCCAAGGACCAUCCUAUACCUUGCCAUCGAUAUAGGACCUUACUUUAACUUUUGCUUAGUGGAUCCACUAGCCUAAUCUUACGUGAUCAUCUAAAAAGAAUGAUACGUCAAGUCCCAUGUUGGCGCAUGGUUCUUAUGGAGAGUUGAGUUUAAUAUGAACUCGCGUCCCCAAAUCGGUGCUCGAUACUACUUCUAAAAUACUUUAGCUCAUAAGUGUUUUAAACACAUCUUUCUUUAGUUGAGAUAAUUACUCAAAACUUAGCCCGAAGGCACUUGAAAACUCUUUCUAAAUAGAACAAGUCAAAACCACAUUUUUUUUUAAUAUGAUCAUUGAUGACUCGGGAUAUUCAUACUGCUUAAACAUUGAUGGUAUAUCUAGAGACCAUACUGUUUCAACAUUGAUGACAUACUCGAUUUGUCAUAUCUAAUCAUAUUUUAGAAACUCUUUUGAAAAACUCAUCUUUUCUUUUUAAAAGAGAUAGUGCUCAAAACUCUUUUGGAAAUCUCAGUUUCCUCUCGUCUUAAAUGUGAAAACAUUUAUAAACUUCCUUCGGAAAUACUUAGUUCCCUAAUUACUUUUGAGAAAUGAACUCAACUCUUGACUCUUGACUUAACUCGAUACUCUUUACUCGACUUGAAACUUAUAUACUUAACUUGGAACUUGAGCCUUAGAAUGAAGUUAAAAUGUUCAAUGAAGACUCUUGAAAAGCUUUAAAGACUUGCUUGGACUUACUUAACUUCUAAGCUUGACUUCACUUGAAUCGGAAACUAACUUCACUUGACUUGGAAACUAACUUCACUUGAAUUGAAUUAUGGAUUCAAGGACUUGAUUGGUGUUUGGAAGGACCUCAUGAUGUUUAGGAAUGAUUUAGGAAUGAUCUGGAACAGCCAAACCUAAGAAAAUCUUCGAACAUAAAUUCUGAAAACAGUGGAGUCCGCGUUCUGUCCGCGACGCAGAGAAGAUUUUGUUUACAGAGGGAACAAGUCCGCGACGCGGACAUGCUCCUCGCAAGCUGCCCGACUUUCUCCUUCACGUUACCAACUCUAAACCCUCUAACCUCAAAGAUUCCAGCCCCCAAUCACUUAGAAACAUAAAAUCCCUCAACAUUCAAUAGAUUUCAACUCAAAAACACAACUCAAUCAUGUCCCACCACCAACAAUAAUUCCAACAACAACAACUAACAACUUUAACAACAUAACCAAUCCUUUCUUAAUAAAUAGAAGGGGCUAGGUGUGUGGGGGGGAAGGAUCACCCAACACUAAAAGCUCACAUACCUUAAUAGGGAUCACCCCCGACGAAAAUCCACGAUGAUCUUGUUGGAAACUUGUUGAUCGCCUCAAUUUUUCUCUUCUUCUUCUCCUUCUUCUCUUCUUCACUCUCAAGCCCUAGCUUUUACUUUCUUAAAUGGGACAAAAUGAUCUAAAGAUCAGCCCUAUACAACAAUAUAAUCCCAAAAAAAUUGGCUAGGGAAAAGACUAAAAUGCCCUUAAUUUACCGGACGGAUUCCCUGCCAACUGCCCAACUUUCAAUGGCCAUAACUCGCUCAUACGAACUCGGAAUUGAGCAAACUCAGCGGCGUUGGAAAGACCAUUCCACAAGCUUCGCAACCAUAACUGGAAAUACUCCUAAAUCAUCCUGAGCUAGGAUUUACGACUUCUCAAAGUUGGCCAAAAUUCACUGAUUUCCAUACUUAGCAAAAUUUCCAAAACUUUAAAAUUCUUUCCAAAAAAUGAAAAUUUCCAAUUCUAAGCCUCUUCAAUUAUUUCACAUUGCCGGAUGUUACAGUAACAAACCAAAUCAACAAGUCUUGCAAACCAUGAUGGUGGUGUAAACAUGUUUUACACAAAUUCAUGGGAAAAAGAAGUAAAAUUGUCAAUUAGAAUAUAACAGUGAACCUUGACUAAUCUUUUGACGUCCAUAAUUCAGCACAUAUCAGUGACAGAGAGUUGCGUGUGAUUUCAUCUUAUGAUUUCAAACCGUGGGAUGAAAUCCCAAAUUCUCCAAAAAGCUUGAUUUGAGAAUUUCAUAUCAUGAUUUCAUAUUUUUUAAAUACAAACAUCGACCCACAAGUUUAUAUUUUGUAAAAAGAAAAUCCACCAUUUUAUAUCCACAUAUUUUUUUGUGAGAAUACCAAAGGAGCGAUAAAAUAUUCACGAAAUAUAAGCAUGAUGAUAUGAUUAUUAAUAAUAUUGACCAACAAGCGGCUCAAUAAAUAUAGUAAACUACAAGUUUAUAGCUCUUGCUCAGUUUAUUUUUUUAAGAACUAAAAUUCGAUCAAUAAAUAUUGUAUUUUUUUUAGAAUAACUUUGUGAUAAUCUAUUAUACUUUUGUUCUGAACUUUUGCUUAUUUGGUAAGAUGGUAUAAAGAAUUGAGACAAUUUUGAUAGUUUUUAAUUACAGCUUAUAAAGCUAUUGUAUUUAUGAGCAAAAAUACAACUUAAAAGAUCCAAAUUGCAUGUCGAAACAAAAACUUCAACUGCAUCUCAUAUGACUUCAUAUCAUAUGAUUAUAUCAUCUCACAUGGCUAAACGAACCCUUAAAUUUCAGUCGAACCAAUGAAUAUCCUUCAACUGCUCUAAACAUAAUUGUGUAUUUUGCUUGUGUGGGUAAGUCAAGAAUUCAACUUCUUGACAUUCUCUUGGUGUGUGUCUCACACAAUUGAAAAUGAGAAUGCAAUAGUCCAUCAAUUGUCUCACAAAAUAACACCUGGAAACAUUAAGUCAAUAAGAAUUGAUGGUGUAUGUACCACAAAUUAUAGUAAAUUAUAGUUGAAAAUAAAAUGAAUAGUAUCUCGCUCUCUUUAUGGAGAUUUAAACCCACUGCGACAUAAACUACACCGAUCCAACAGUAUAACUCUUGACUUUCUCCCUCCAUGAUACAAUAACAUAACAACGUCAUAUAAUUCAAACUCCAGAUUAGUUGAAGAGUCCAAAACUCCACAAAAGAACGUACACCUUCCUUCAAUAUAAAAUUAAUCUCUUUUGUAUAGUGAAUUAGUUGAAGAGUUAGAAUAUUCUUCUUUGUCUCAACUCUCUCCUUCAGUACUCUAACCUCAACCUCAACGUACAAACACAUUAUACUACUUCUCAUCUUUGUCCUAAAUACAAUGUAGGACCUCCACUAUUUUACAGGUGAAGAAUUCUUUCUUGCAAUACAUAGGAAGAAUGUGGGUAAAUGAAUAGAGGAAAUUAUGCCUUAAAAGUUACAUGAGUAAAUUAUGGGUGAAAUAAUGUGUUAGCGAUUACAAUGGUUUUAAGGCAAAUAAAGACCACAUUAUGCUACAAAAAACAUUGGAAAUUUGAAGCAUCAAAAGAUACUUAACUAUGCAGCACUUCUUUACCCCUCAAUAUCAAACACUUCAAUUGUAUGAUAAUGAAGCCUACUUGUUUGAAUGCUUUCGAUAUCAUUUCUCUACUCCUAGUUUUGAUCUCUCUAUCUUGUUCCAGAAAGAUAAGAGCCGUAUAGGUCGAUUUAAGUUAACAGAGUUUUGGAAAACAUAGUUUGUUAUUUGCCUUUCUCAAUUAUAUUAAAUAGGUGUUUACUCUACUUUGAGACAUCAUAAAAGAAGAUACACAUCUUAGAUUUAUUUGUUGAUAAUCAGGCUAUCCUCGGAUUCUUCCUUAUUGAUAUUAAUGAGGUGGGCGGGAAGGAUAGUGUCUAAUAUGGAUACAUAUAUUUCCCUUGUACCUGACCUUUCUGAGUUGACACUCACAAGUGAACAAAGAGGUGGAUCAUCUAUGUCAUCUCAAUAUUCAUUUUGUCAGGUACCUGAAUCAAACGAUUUUGAGGAAUUUGCUUUUAACAUUCAUUCUACUGGACCAAAACGAGGACUUUCCGUGCUAGUUGUCAGUUUGAUAUCCAAGUGUUGAAACCACUCAUUUUAGAUUAGAUAAAUUUUCCAAGUUAUGUGCGGCAUGAAUAUGACUGAUGUCGUCAAUGCAAUUAUUAAUAACAGCCCUCGAAGACUUGAGCAAGUGUGGAAGGGAAAUUGUGAGAUUUAUUGAAACCAACCAGUAUUCCAAAACAGAAUCAUGCACAAAUCAAGUGUGCUAAAAUAAAAACCAAAAAAAAAACAAUCCUUACAUGAAUCCAACAAUUUAGUAAACAUUUGCAACAAAUAAGUGAUUCCGAGAACGUUGAUCAGCAUGCAAGAAGUUGAAUCUUGAUCUUUUGUAGCAUCCCUACAACAUCUUUCAUGUUUGUCCUUCUUGCCGGAGAUUCAGCACAACAAUCUAAUGCCACUUUCAUGAUUGAAGACACAACAUCUAGCUCCUUCUGUAAGCGAUUAUCCAUUGAUGUUACCAAGUUGGCAUCUACAACAUCCAUUACUGCCUCUGGGAAUGAAUAACUAACCCAUUGCUUCAAGCUAAGAUCUCCCUCAAACUCAUUAGGCUUUCUCCUAGUAAACAUCUCCAACAACAUGAUCCCGUAACUAUAGACAUCACAUUUUAUAGACACCAAUCCAUCCAGUCCGUACUCUAUAAACAAACAAUUAGUUUGAAGAUUUAACAUAAUUUCUUGGUGAAAAAGAAAAAGAAAGGAAAAAUCAGCAAAACAAAGAGACGUACCUGGUGCAAUAUAACCCAAUGUUGCUAAGGUUUUAGUAUAUAAAUCACUCUCAUCUUCACCAAGCAGUUUUGAAAUACCAAAGUCGCUUAGGUGGGCAACCAUAUCCUCAUCCAGCAAGACGUUACUAGGCUUCAGAUCACAAUGAAUCACAGGUAACGAGCACCCAUGAUGGAGAUAUUCCAAUGCACAUGCCACAUCUAUCAUAAUGCUUAGUCUCUGCCUGAUGUCUAGGAAGUAGUUGUGCGAAUACAAAUAUUUGUCAAGACUUCCAUUAGGCAUAUACUCGAGCACUAAAGCCUUAAAAUCAAGGUUGGAACAACUAGUGAUGACUUUCACAAGAUUCCUAUGGCAAAGGCUGCGCAAAACUUCACAUUCUAUAUCAAAACUCUUGAAUGCCGCUUCCAGUUGCAGAUUGAACACUUUAACUGCAAUGGCAGUCCCACUUGCAAUAUGAGUUCCACUUCUGAGAAUGCCUUUGUAGACAGAGCCAAAACUUCCAGAACCAAUCAGAUUACUCUCGCUAAGAGAAUCAGUUGCUUGGAGCAGUUCAUAGUAUGAAAUUCUUUCUGUUGUUGCCAUAGACAAUGAAUCAGCUUGUUGAGGAGCUCUUUUACCUCUUCUAUACCUUAUCCACAGGAACACAAAGGCGAUAGGAACCAAUACAAUUGCUAUUCCUAGCAAAAGAAAUAGAACUAGCAAUUUUUUCCUAUUUGAUCUUUGCGUUGAUGAAGUGGGGCAUGGCGGGACAUUAAACCUUGACAAACCACACAAUGCUUCGUUGUUGAUGAAAAAUUGACUCGAGAGGUUCUUGAAAGGACCCCCGAGGGUAUUUCACCAUGCAACUUAUUGUCAGAAACAUUAAAAUACUUGAGAUAUUGAAGUUUCUGCAAAGACAUGGGAAUAGUUCCCGAUAUAUUAUUAUGAGAAAUGUCUAGAAAUUCCAAACCUACCAUGUUGCUCAUUGAGUCGGGUAUAGAUCCUUGUAACUUGUUGUGUCUCAAAGAAAGGUGCACCAGAUUUUGUAAUCCUCCAAUUUCUCUAGGAAUUCCAUUUGAGAAUUGAUUCAUCGAUAGGUCUAUCUGGUUCGCAGCCUUUUGAUUUCCAAUUUCUGGAGGUAAAGAGCCAACCAUAUUGUUUGAUGAUAAGUCAAGAACCAUUAGAUCUUUAAGAUUUCCUAAGCUUGUUGGUAAAUUGGAACUCAAUUUAUUGGAAUCCAUAUAUAUCUCUCUAAGGGAAGUAACGUUCCCUAAACAAUUAGGAAGUGCAGCUGAAAGUUGAUUUUGACCCAAGGAAAUAACACCCACAUGUUGCAAUUUACAAAGAUUAUCUCCAAUAAAUCCUGUAAGUUUGUUGAUGUUCAAGUACAAGCGUUGAAGGUUUCUCAAGUUCUGAAUUGAUGUAGGAAUUGAUCCAAUCAAGUUAUUAUUAGAAAGAUCAAGGUCUAUUAAAUUGGUUAAGUUUCCAACUUCAUUUGGAAUCUGGCCGUUAAUCUUACAAGUAAUGGCAUAAAAUUGUAUAAGAGAUAUGGAGAAGUUCCCUACGGAGACCGGAAACAUGCCAUUUAGAGGGUUGAAAGAUAGAGAAAGAAAUCUUAAAUUUCUGCAAUUGGUUAAGGAAGUCAGGAAGCUUAAAAUUGAAUCACUGCUUAAAUUGUUUAUCCCCAAGUUUAGGAAGUGUAGAUGAGUCAAAUAUCCAAGAGAAUUGGGUAUUAAGCCUGUGAGUUUGUUUCGUGAAAGAUCUAGAUCAGUAAGCUUUGAACAAUUGGAGAUAGAAUGAGGAAUAGUCCCAAAAAGAUUGGUUAAGCUAUUCAGAUAAAGCUGUUCAAUGUUAGGUAAGGUUGAACCUAUUUUUGAUGGUAGAGUUCCUGAUAGAUUAUUGAAUGAAAGAGUAUAUAGCUCUUCAAUGUUGGGUAAGGUAGAACUUAUGUUUAGUGGGAGGGUUCCUGAUAGAUUAUUGGCUGAAAGAUCAAUUAUUGUCAGUCGUGAUAUGUUGAAGAUCUCCAGUGGAAGUGAACCACUAAAACUAUUAAACUCAAGAUUAAGUACCUCCAAGUCAACGAGAUUUCUUAUCUCUUUGGGUAUUUCACCUGUCAACACAUGAAUACUAGUGAAUUUAGUUCAAUACAGUGUAAGUUAUACUUUUGGUUAUCACUUUGAAUACGUACCAGUGAACCUAUUUUCGGGAAGAUAUAAAACUUGCAUCUUGGUCAAGUUAGCAAUCUCCCGUGGUAAGGAUCCCUUGAGAUUGUUCCCCCUUAGUGAAACAAGUUGCAACGAUGAGAUAUUGAAUAUGGAGACCGGGAUAGAGCCGGUAAUCUGGUUUUUCUCCAUUGUUAACUCCACCAAAUUAACAAGAUUUCCGAUUUCUUGUGGAAUUAUCCCUGCAUUUAAUGUGUUAAUAAAAACUAUCUGAGGUAAUUAGAUACAAUAGUACUAGCUGUCAUAAGAUAAAACAUACCUGUGAAAUGGUUGGAUCCAAGAUACAAUCCUUGCAAGUUACUCAAUCUUCCAAUUUCACUAUGUAUUCGCCCAUCAAAAUUAUUUUGGGAUAGAGACAAUAUUUGAAGUUGUGAACAAUUUGACAAGCUAGCUUGUAGGCAUAUGACUAUGAAGCAUGUUUAUUGAUAGAUCAAGCUCUUUGAGUAUUGGGAGACCAUUGCAUAAACCAUUCGGAAGAUUCCCUGAUAAGCUAUUGUUUGUAAAUCCAAUGGCUUCGAUUCUAGAGAUAUUGAAAAUUGUGAGUGGUAUAGAACCCGUAAGCUGAUUAUGUUGUAUGGACAAGUAGUUCAUGUAGUGAAGGUUGCCAAUCUCUUCCGGAAUAGAACCUAUGAAUUUGUUUCCAUCCAAGUUUAAAACUCUCAAGUUUUCAAGACUUCCAAUCACUUUUGGGAUUUGACCCUCUAUUGAAUUGAAUCUCAGAUUCAAAGUUUCAAGUGUGGAAAUAUUAGAAAUGGAACAAGGGAUUGAACCAGUGAAACUAUUAUUUCCAAGAUUUAAAACUUGAAGUUGGUGUAAAAACCCAAACCAAGAAGGAACCUCCCCUCUAAAGUUGUUCAAACUUAAAUCAAGAAACUUAAGCCGACGCAAGUGUGCUAUUUCUUUAGGCAAAUUUCCAUGCAAAUUGUUGCUUCUCAAGUCCAGAGAAACAAGAAAUGUGAAGUUUCCAAAAUCACGGGGGAUCCUUCCUGUAAGAGCCAUGUUGGAAAGAUUCAAGGACUUCACUCGCUGGUAACGAGAGUCACAUGUGAUACCUAUCCAAUGGCAAACAGAAGUAGUGGGAGACCAACUAUCAUCUAAGAAGUGAAAGGGGUCUGAAAUGAUUUGAGAUUUUAAAGAAAGAAGAGUUGAUUGAUCAGUGGUAAUGUUAGUUUGGGUCAUGGCUGAACUAGCCAUAACAUACUGAAGCAACAAGAGAAAAGAGGUUAAUAUUUUCUCCAUAAUUGCAUAAGUUAGUAAGAAAAUUGAAUGGCUAGUAACCUAUGGUUUUGAGACUUUAAAUAGUGAUAAUUUUAUUGUUCCCCAAUUUAAUUUAUUUUCCAGUUUAAUUAUGUAGGGCCUAAGGACUUGACCAAUUGAAACAAAACCAAAUAUUACAAACUGUGAUUGUGGUGUUAACAUGUUUUACACAAAUUCAUGGGAAACCAUGUUAACACCACAAUCACAGUUUGCAAGAUUUGGUUAACACAAACUGUAAUUGUGGUGUUAACACAAUUUUACACAAAUAAUUAAAAUUGUCGAUAAAAAUAUAACACUGAAUCUUGACUUAGUUUCUGACGUCCGUAAUUCCACGCAUAUCAAAGACAUAAUUUUAAUUGGUUUUAAAUUCUAGGCUAGUGACAUCUGGUGUUGAUUAUGACCGGUUUCUAUCGUUAGUGAAUUUUUAAAUAUAAAUAUUGAAUUUGGACUAAAUCCGUGGGAACGCAUACUAAAGUCUGGACACAAAUGUGUGUUUUGCCUGUGUGGGCAAGUGAAGAAUUCAACUUCUUGACAUUCUCAUGGUAUGUGUCUCACAUUAUUGAAAAUGAGAAUGCAAUAGUCACAAUAUCCAAUAUUAAUUGAUAUAUAGUGUUAGGUUUUGAAAGAUGAUUUGGGAAAUAAGUAACUAAUGGAGAGGGUAAAAUAUAUAUUUAUUUGCCUUGGUUAGGAAGCUUCUCAAGAGUUUCAUCGAGAAUUUGUUUUUCACUAUGCAGUGAGUUGAUCAUUGAUUCACGGUGGAAAACUAGUAGUGUUUAGUCUUGAACUGCAUCGGAAAGGGCUAGCUUGGCUAGUUGACUAUUCCACAUCGUGAACUGCAUCGAAAAGGGCAUACACUCUCUGUUUUUAUGGGUUGUUUCGUGGUAUUUGACAUUUCCAAGUUGUCCCUCACAAGCAAACAAAGAGGUGAAUCAUUUGAUCUUGAAAUAGGUCAUCUCAUGCUAUCUCGAUCUUUUUAUCUAUUCAAAAAUCAUAUGUUUUAAGGAUUUUACUUUUCACGUUCAUUCUAUACAACCAAAAUGAGGCCUUUCCUUGCUAUUUUGAAUAAAAACAUCACCAACUACCCUCAAUUCUAAGUAUAAAAUAACCCAAUAAAAUAUAAAAGAAUUUAUAACUACAAAAUGCCUACUAUAAAUUUCCAGUGAAAAUGUCUACUUUGAUUGCGAUCCACCAAUUUGCAACAUUGACUGAAAAAUGUGACAAGUAAAGUGGUCAAUAUAGAGUAUCUCUUUCCGCAGAUUAAUUGAACUCCCUUUGUCUCAUUUUAACUAUUGUUUUAGCUUUUUUUGCGCCCAUUAAGUAAAAACAGAUAUUUCCUUUGUUUUCUUCUGCAUUUUGAGUUCUCGGGACGCGAUGGGACAAGAACAAGUUAUUUUUCAAUUGCAGGAGCUGAAAAGUGGUUAUUUGUUGAAUUUUAGCGAAUGAUUUUCCCUUUGUUGUUUCAAGCACUCACUCAGGUAUGAAACUCAACGAAUUUCUGCAAAUUGUUAACUCUAAAGUGUUUGCAUGAGUGAUUAUUUUCUUAAUGCAUAAUUCUGAUUGUUGGUUUAAAAUAGAGGAUUUUCUCUUGUUCUGCCGCAAUUACAUUUUGAUUUGAAUCACUGGAAGGAGCACUCAUGAUGUAGAUAUUCCAACGCACGUUCCUCAUCCAUCAUAAUGCUUAGUCUCUGCAUGAUGUCUAAGAAGUAGUUGUGUGAAUACAGCCACUUAUCGAGGCUCCCAUUAGGCACGCAUGUACUCAAGUACUAAAGCCUUAAAAUCAAGGUUGGAACAUCUAGUGAUGCUUCAUUGUCGAUGAAAAACUGACUUGUGAGGUUCUUGAAAGGGCCCCGAGGGUAUUUCACCGUGCAACUUGUUGAUAGAAACAUUGAAUUCUUUUACUGUAUUUUUUUCCUUCGAAUUUACCACUAGACUGCGUGUCUAGUGGUCUUUUAUUAAUAAUAAAUUAAAAAUCCUUCAUUGGGACAAGUACAACAAGGAAGGGGGAUUAGACUUUACCUUACCAAUCUUAAUGAGGUUAAGAACUAUUUUUAACAACCAUGAAGAAAAUAAGAGCUAGAGAGAAUUAGAUGUUCUAUGACCAUUGUAGAGUUUAUUAAUAUUACAUACGAGGAUGCUUCAGUAAUGCAAAAUUAUAAAAGUCAAGAAGAAAGUAAAGUCAUCAACCUCAAACUUCCUUCUACAAAUGGAUGACCUAAACAAGACAAAUUAGUUUUCUAAAGUAACCUGGAGUAAUUUUCUCUUGUCUUCUUCAAAUUUAUCCAAUAGCUCUUGAUAGUUCAUCACUUUUUCUUCGGUUUAUUGGAUAUUGUUGACACUAUCAUGUGAUUUUGUUUUGUCAGUCGCAUCGGUAAGUGCCUUGAAACAAAUUCCUCAGUCAUCUUACCACCCCAACUAGUCUUUCUUUCAUGCUUCUUUUUGUUAUUGCGGUGUUGCCUAGAAGAAAUAUCUGCAUUUUUAGCCGCAUUUGCAAAACAAUGAUCCAACACAUCCUCUUCUUCACUUUCCUCAAAGAUGUCCUCAUCUUGUAGCCUGUAGGUUAUCAAAUCUAUUUGGAGAGAAAUGACUACUACCACCAACUUGUAGUUGUUUUUUUAGUGUUAAUAGAUGUUAGAAAAGUAAAUUUUUCAACAUCAGAACUCACCAAAUGAUCACUUAAAAUUGCAGCAACAUCAGUUGAUGGCCAAUCUAUCCCAUGCCUAACUGAUUUGGCAUUUCUAGUACAAAAAAAUUGGAGCUGCAGGGCACAAUUUUCUGUGCAUAGGAGGAGAAGCGACCCACUGUUCCUCUUCGUUUACUAUAUAUGCCCAACUCAAAGCACUUGUCGCAUCUUAUUGUUCCUUAUUAGAAACGGGGGUGCAACUAAAGCUUGAUCAAUUGCACUAGCAUCAGUCAACCUAGCGUGCUCUUCACCUACAUUUUCACCCGGCUUAGCAGCAACCGUAGCCAACUGAUCCCUUUGGACAUCACCUUUUGAUUGAACUUGAACCACUAAAUCAUGCUCAUAACCAUCAGAAGUAACACCUCUGUUUCCAGUAUUUAUUUGUUGCGAAAAAUUCCUUUGUUGGUUAGGACUAGAAGCGUUUUUUUUCGCCACCAACCUUUUUAGAUUAUGCAUGAGCUGCAGUUUCAAGUUGUUCCUUACCAGCCCUUGUUCCUUCAUUUAAUUGUUUUUCAUAAUUGUUCUUCGACAAAGUCAAAUCGAAGCCUUUCCAUGCUAGUUGUCAGUUUGAUAUCCAAGUGUUGUACCACUCAUUUUAGAUAAGUAGAUAAAUUUGACUUGAGCAAGUGUGGAAGGGAAAUUGUGAGAUUUAUUGAAACCAACCAGUAUUCCAAAACAGAAUCAUGCACAAAUCAAAUGCUAAAACAAAACAAAAAAAAACAAUCCUUACAUGAAUCCAAUAAUUUAGUAAAGGCAUAAUACAUAUAUUGACCCCUAAACUUGGUUUCAAAUUUUAACUUGACCUCCAACUUUCACAAUGCACAAAUAGGCACUUUAACUAUCCAAAACUUAAACAAAAAACAACUCGGAUCCUACCUGGCAAAAUAGCGUGAAAUACACUCAAAUUAGGCGCGUCAGAUGUAAAAAAUUCAGGGGGGUCAACAGUAAAAAAAAAGCAUUGAAAGGACAAUUAAACCCUUUUUAUAUUUUUUUCAACAAUUUUCCCCUCUUUUUUGCAUUAUUUGUUGUUCCAUUUAAUAAAAUUUUUGUUAUUACGAAAAAAAUUAUAAUGAAGUUUUUUUUUUGGCAAGAAGGAAAAAGGAACACGUGUAGUACUUAAAUUUUUUUUUUGAGAUUCAAUCAAUUUUUUUUGUCUUUGAAAUAUUUCUAGCUGUUAAUUACUGUAAUUUAUAGUACUUUCUAAGAAAUUUUCAAAUAAUAUAUAUUAUUUCAUUUGUCUGAAUUUAUGCGUCACCGGUAAAAUUUGAAGAGUCAAUCAGAUCUUUUAUAUAUUUUUAUAUCUUUUAAAUAUUUAAGUAAUUAAUUAUCGUGAUUUAUAAUAUUUUAUACAAUUAUUUAGUAUGGUAAAGGAAAUUUAAAAGAAACACGCAUCAUUCAAUAGUAAAAUAUGGGUCCCCAUUUUUUUUUAUAGGUUGACCUCCUGCCUGUAUAGUCUUUUUUUGUCCAGAAGGAAAAAGGAACACGUGUCGACCCCAAGGUCCUCUCUAUUCCCGCUUAUUAUAUUAUAUACUAGUGAUGAAAGAGCCCGUGCUAAUAAUUAAUUUAAAAGUUAAUUUUUAAUUGACGUUAAAUAAAUAGUUUUAAAUUUUAAAUUUGAAUAAAUUAUAUAUAUUUAUAUGGUAGUAAACGUUCAUGUUAACUCUAAAAUGAAUACAUCACUAUUAAUAAAGCUUGAAGUUUAAAGAAAAAUCCUUAAAUGACCAAAAUAACCCUUAAACUCAAUUUUAAUCACAAAAAGCAUACAUGUCCACGGUGUGGUGGCUGAUUCAUCAACUAAUUUUUUGUAUGUUUUUUCAAAAAUAUUUUAGUUGCUAAUUUGUUAUAAUUUAUAAAAAUCAUUAACGUCAUUUUCGAAUAACUUAUAGUAAGUUAACUUUCAAUAAUAUAUAUUGUUCCAUCUAUUCAAAUUCAUGUGUCACCAAUAGAAUUUCAAGAGUCAACAAAAAAUUUUCUAAAAAAAAUAUAUUUUAAUUAUGAUUUAUAGUACUUUUAAAUAUAACGUAUAGUGUGUUUGUAGGCUCUUAUUAGAUUGAAAAAAUAUUUUAAAUUAGUAAUUAUUGUAAUUAAUAGUGUAUAUUACGUAAUUUUCAAAUUUGUAAUAAAUUUUUUUAAAUAUUAAGUCUAAUAAUUUAUAGUAUCUUAAAUGUAAUCUUUGAAUACACAUAAAUUAAAAAAAGAAAUAAGACAAAUAAAUUAUAAAUUGAAUAAUUGACAUUUUCAAAUAUUAAUUUACCACAAAAUGAAAGUGAAGGAAGAAGUUGUGAGGCAAAAAUAAAGAGAAAGGAAUGGAAUUAGUGAGGUGGGGUCCAUAUCCAUUAAAAGAGAUUGAAAUAAAUGCAUGGCAAAUUGAAAAGGUGUCAAAUAGACAGGAAAACGGGCCCACAUGCAUUGAAUAGUUGGCAGCCAUUGAGUGGGUCACUAAUACACGUGGCAGCGUUUGCAUUUCACGCUUUUGGCUCCGAAAAUCGCGUGUUUAUUUAUUUAAAGGUAGGAUAGUUAAAGUGCCUAUUUGUGCAUUGUGAAAGUUGGAGGUCAAAGUUAAAAUUUGAAGCCAAGUUUAGGGGCCAAUAUAUGUAUUAUGCCUUUAGUAAACAUUUCCAACAAAUAAGUGAUUUGGAACAAGAGAUUCCGAGAACGUUGAUCAGCAUGCAAGAAGUUGAAUCUUGAUCUUCUGUAGCAUCCCUACAACAUCUUUCAUGUUUGUCCUUCUUGCCGGAGAUUCAACACAAUAAUCUAAUGCCACUUUCAUGAUUGAAGACAACAUCUAGCUCCUUCCGUAAGCGACUAUCCGUUGAUGUUAUCAAGUUGGCAUCUACAACAUCCAUUACUGCCUCUGGGAAUGAAUAACUCACCCAUUGCUUCAAGCUAAGAUCUCCCUCAAACUCAUUAGGCUUUCUCCUAGUAAAUGUUUCCAGCAACAUGAUCCCGUAACUAUAGACGUCACAUUUUAUAGACACCAAUCCAUCCAGUCCA